AGAGAAUAAUAAGAAGAGACGGUUGUAGCUUUUAGCUAUGUUUCAAUUCUUGAUUCUAGUAUUAAGUGAAAGGUUAUGCCGAGAGGUUCUGUAUUAUGGGUCAAUCCUACUCUACUAGUGCUAAUAGGAAGCAUAGGGGAAGAAGCGCUACACCUAGGAAUCAACAACAUGAAAACUUUAUUCUAAGUCAGCCCUUCCCUUAGCGGACUUGGGACUAAAAGAAUGGUUGGGACAACAAACAUCCAUCUCGUUCGUCCUUUGGAUACCCGUAUAACCAUCGAAGUACGGGUCGUCCGCCCAAGAAGAAUGGCUAUCUUUCUCUUUACUUACGCAAUUUCUUUCUUUGUUGUUGAAGGAGUCUCUUCUUUUUUGGCUGCUCCCGCGACAAGUUCUUUUCAGUAUUGUAAUAAUAUUGCUUGCCAUCUUUGGUAUGGUAAACUAACUCCAACCAAGCCCAACACUUAAGAUGGCACAACUUCAACAUUCAAUCGCACAGCAUUAAAGGUAGCGAAGCUGACGGAUUAUAACAGCAUUAGACCAUUAAAAACUUACUUAACCGAUCAGGAACUAGACAAACCACAGGUCGAUAUAAUAGUAGUUAUUUUCAAAGGUAAAGUGAAGUCCCAACAUUCCUCAUAACACCGAACAUCUCGUAUGAGAGAUUCCAACAAAGAAUGGCUGCCUCGUAACUGCUUCUUCUGCAACGGAACAUGUUACUGCUUAAAGCAACAAAGAACGGCUAAAGCUCAUCGCAAGAUCGGAAAGAACACCAGCCCGCACAGACAACAACGACACGACUCCAAAUACAGGUAAAAAGGGGAUAGCAAUUAACUACUAACCCAUCCGCUAUACUAUAUAAAACCUAAGCUGAUAGGAAAGGGUUGUGGCCACCAGGCGAGAAGGACACCAAAAUGUGUCUAUAGUCUAUACCAGUGUCGGUAAUAGUGAGGUUUCUUUUUCCUUAGCCAAAGACGAAUAAGGCCAGUAGCCAGCCUUUUUAAAAACCAGAAGGGAAGAAAGAGCCAAUUGAAAAGGCUUUAAAGAAGAGAUGAAAGAAUUGUUACAAACAAAGCAAAGGGCUUGAAGGACGCCCUCUCAUACUUUCUCAACCGAUGAAGCGAGCUAGGUCUCCUCCUUUUCAGGGAGAGCUAAUGCUUGUUGGGUAUUUUGGUUUGACACUGCUUCAUACCCCCCACGUGGAUUGGCCAGGGUCUUCUUCGGCUAAUGAGACCUCGAUCCCGAAGCCUUCGAAGUAUUUUUUUGAUAGGUGCCUCUUUUUGUAUGGGGAAUUCGCUGCUAAUAGAUCUCGCCCAGUGUCCCCCUCCUUCCCUCGGCCACCUUUCUUCGAGAAACGUCAGCAUGCUCUUUGAAACUGGUGCUCUAGAAGCUUUAGACCGCACUUGAGCAGGUUAAUCUUAAGUGUUGGAAGCUACUGCUAAGGGAAUCCCCCUCAUCUAGAAAGGAUAGGCAAUUGAGAGAGAAUAGGGUUAUAGCGAUAGACACAGGAACUGAAAGAGAUUUUGACGAUUACUUCCGUAGAGGAGAGGGGAAAGCUGCUUAGAUAGGGCGAUAGCUCGGUUUUGAUUGUUUAUCCUUUCCUACGCUUGUCUUGUAUUGAGGUAUACUAAAGAAAUGAGUAAAAGUCGGUAACAGAAGGGGAGGUAUUGCUGUUUUUUAUUAGUAAGGACAAGCCGCUUUCAUUUUCAACAAUCUAAUGGUAGGGCGAGUAGGCGGUUCGUAUCUUUCUAUGACCCCCAGAAUAAGAAGUUGGAGGAUAGGCAGAGCAAGACCUCUUGAAGUCUACCCGGGCACGCUUCUUCAUUCAUCUUUUUGGUUAGAUAAUGGAAGACGAUAAGCCACCGCCCAGUAGUGCUCUCGGAGCUUGAUUGCUCCGAGCCGGUAACGUGUAGGUCACAAUCUAAAUUUCUAACUGAAAAGCAGAAAGUAAUAAGUUCAACGGGUAAGAGAAUGCAUUUAACCGAUUGAAAGCGUGAUAAGUGUCACUAACGGUAUAGCGAAUAGGGCGUUUAACUGUAACUCACCGGUAGGACAGAUAACGUUUGUGGUUUGAGUUCGCUUAUCCGACCUAUAUUUAUUUCCAACUAAAGGUAAAGGCAUUUUUCGCUUCACCGGAAUCCGAUGUCAAUUGGUUACCGGUUGGAUUCUAUCCCUCCCCUACGUUUUCUUUUGCCCUCUACCCCCAAAAAGCGAAAGGAGAGGGAACAACCAUAAUGAUACACCCUAAAACUAUACGGAGCCCUUCAGAAUGACCUAGAAUAUAGUCUACUAGACUAGACAAGAAAGAGUGACGUAGACUAUAUUCGCCCGUAGAGGUGAGAGGAGAAAGCUGUGAAGAUUCUAACUCUAACUACCACCUCGGGACUAUAUUAGUAUAAAGCGACAUUAUCCCUUUACUAAAUCCUCCCUCGCUUAUCACCAUGAACAAGACCUUUCCCAAUCAAAGCAAGGGCGUAGCAGCUUUCACCAGGGAAACUUCCUAUUAGGAAUGGCUUCCUUUCAGGUUGUGUUGUUACAGACCAGACUGUUCUAACAGGGCAGGGGAGACGGAUAACUAAUAUAAUACAGUAUAGCUAUGAUCGGGAAAUAGCGCAGAUAAGAUCCGACUGAAUGUGUGAACCAUCUGACUGUAUUUUCCAACUGAAAUGGAAUAUUACUACCGAAAUUGAAUUGUACAUCCAGAAUAGUCCUAAGAAGACAUGAUCCCAGGCCGGUACUUGACAUGUACCCCCUCUUCCAGGUCCAUCACAAGGAAAACGAAAACCAAGAUUUGCCUUAUCCGGUAUCAAACAAGAACUGCGAGCAAAUAGAACACCUUUCAAGAGUAUCAAUACCGUCACAUGAAUCGAAAAUGCAUGAAUGUGAUAGGGAGAAUCAUGCAUGGGAGUUGUGCGGGAAUAAAUCUCAGCCAAAGUUUGCCAGUCCUCUUGGGCGGCCGAGAGUGUUAUGUAAAAAGGACCAAGGAGGAUGCCUGCUACUUCAUCUGGGAGAAAAGAAUCAUAGCUCCCGGUAGCAAAAGGGAGUAGCAAAGGGGACAAAGGACUCGUAGUACCUACUAGCGUGGCUACGCAGUGGAAGGGAAGGAGCCUAAAUUAACCCCCUUCUUUUUAACAUAAUUUUUGAAUUGGAUCAAUACUUCCAGGGCGGACCCCAACCGAAAGGCACUAGACGGAGGUUUCAGGUUCAUACUCUGCUCCCUAAUCCGCUUUCUCCUUUGACGCUAUGAAGUCGCUUUCUUCUUUGACGUGAAUCGUGAAUACGGGAGCUGCUACUGAGUACUGAGUGAAUGGGCAAAAGGAGAUUGGGGAUCUAUCGAGUGGAAAACCAGGAAGACUAUCGAUACACCGAAGAGCUACCAAACACGGGAACUCAGGAAGGCAAAGGGGGAGAUUUUCCUUUAUCCACCCGAAAUAGAGCUAUCGAUGAAAGGAUCCAGAUUUCACACUAUGCUGUGGGCUGGGGAAAGAGCUGCCAUAUCUUGAUGUAGAAAGGAGCUCUCUUCACAUCCAUCUGGUGAAGCUUUAAGUAAAAGUGAAUUGAAAAACUACAUGAGGGGAUUUACAUGCCACCUUCUCCAGGGUGAUACCGAUGUAUUUUGAUAUCCCACAGGUUCGACGAAAUGAGAGCGUCAGCUGAAGGGUGCGAAGCUCGCGCUACGCUCUAGUAGAAGCAAAAGCGGAAGCAAUCCAAAAGGUUUUAGCCAACUGAGACCGUAGAUUUGGGUACGACAACAUUACUUGAUUGUCUGAAAAGGCAAAGAUACUCAAAAGUGGUAUGCGCACAUAAAAAGCGGUUGCAGAUGCCCAUGCUUUGAUUCGAAAGCUCGACCUGCGUGGGACUGAUCUGGACUGAUAACCCGAACCCUUAAUGCUUAAGUAAGACUUCCACCACGUCAAGGUGACACUCUACCACUGAGUUAUAUCCCUUCCCCACCCCAUCGAGAAAUAGAACUGACUAAUCCUAAGUCAAAGAAAAUAUGACAUAGAGCCAUACCGGCCAACCCCUCUCUCCAUUUUGAAAACUGGACAUCAAAAUGCCAUGCGCUCACGGCCCCUUCUUCACGUUGAAGUAAAUUGUGGCAGCAGCCCGAGGUGGGAAUGAAUCCUUCUUGUGCGCUUUCAAAUCUUUCAUCAACUGUUGGGCUCUCUCGGGGAACUCGCCCUUGGGAUUCAGAAAUAUCUAUUUCUACUUUUCAGGCACUACCUGUCCACCAUUUCACUCAUCCUAUCCAUCCUUUCCAUGUAAUCCAUCUUUGAGUCGCAGCUGAAAGAACUACCUUUCACAUCCAAACUCGGGGUCCUACCCCUGUCUUUCGCCUUAUCGCCCUUACUCUCCUUCCCUUGCCAAUGGAUCAGAAUCUUUUCCAACAACAUCCAGGACUCUAUCAUCCCAACCCAUCUACGACUGAGGAAUCGAACAUCAAGAGAUAGAAUAAGAAAAGAGAUGCUCUAGUUAACUGAUAGAUAAGGCACCCGCAAGCAGGGACCGAAGAGAUAGAGAAAGGGAAGACAUGCCAAUCGACCUGAAUAGAUAGCCUGUGGGAGAAUCGGUGCACCCAACCUCAAGAUAAGAAGAAAAGGCCGCUUCGGAUGCCUUCCCUUUCGUUCGCCUCUUCCCAUAAGAAAUGACGUAAGUAGUAGUGCCCGAAAUUGGCAGAUAUCUCCCAUUAGACAGAUCAACGGUAGCGGACAUGGGAUAAACUAGCAGGAGAGCCAAUUUGACCGCGCAGACCAAAUGAGCGAAAUAUUUUUAAAGUGAAAGCGCUGUGCCAACUUGCGUACAAUAUUUAUAUGUGGAUUUGAUACUAUAGUCAAAUCCUCUUCAUAAGUCCUUUCUUAUAGGCUAUUUAAGGUCUACAGCUUUCCCCUCUCCUCUACGGAAGUAAUCAUCAAAAUCUAUUUCAGUUCCUGUGUCUGUUGCUAUCGCCCACGCAGGUUUGGAACCCUAUACAAGGGGCUAGCUAUACCUGAAUCAGUUUGACUCAAUACUUGCACUUGGAUCUUUCUCCCCAGCUUCUUUCUACGAUUCUAGUCAAGUCCUGCUAGUAUGCCUCGAGAGCCUGAGCUACUAUUUUCUUUUCCUUACCCAUAUAUCACAGUUAGUACCCUGAAAGCCAUUGCCUUUCAAGUAGAGCAUCUUUUCAAGUCAGUAUUAUCCCGCUGAUUCUAUGCCAUCAAAGCAUGCUAACAACAGGCCAAAAUAUGAGACCCGAAGGGCCCGGCAUGCACAAUCCUAUCCUAUUCGAGUCCGAGUUUACCCCUUGCACUUCUCGGGCCUCUAGUGAGUUACAGACAGAGUUCGAAAGGGUCAAAUCUUUAAUGAUUCCAUCAUCUAUGAUUGAUUUAUGAAAACUUCUGGAUAGGUAUCCAACAUCUGAACCGAAUUCUUUCUGGUUAAAGAAUCUCUUUCUAGUUGCUCUAGAACAAUUAGGAGAUUCUCUAAAAGAAAUAUGGGGUUCUGCUUCUGGCGGCAACAUGCUUGGUCCCGCUUAUGGGGUCAAAUCAAUACGUUCUAAGAAGAAAGAUUGGAAUAUCAAUCUUAUCAAGAUCAUCGAUCUCAUACCAAAUCCCAUCAAUCGAAUCACUUUUUCGAGAAAUAUAAGAUGACCAUAUCUGCUUUUGCGCCAUGACAAUCUCACUCGAAUUACGGGAACCUACACAUAUUAGUAUAGUAUAUCGGGGUCCUCGGCCAGAACCACACGUGCAAGUUUCCCUGCAUGUGGCUCGUCUGUGCUUUUCGAGGCGCUGCUUGUGACUCAGCAUGGGAGAAGAGGGCGGAACUGCACACUUUCGUGUUCAGAGUAUUGUCCGAGUGAGUAGGCAGCUCCAUUGGGAAGUGAAGAGUGGAGAGCCCACUUGAUCUUUUUGUGGUUUUGCCGAAGUUAUUGCUUUUUUAGUCAUUUCAGUAUGUUGAUAGAGAGCUCUGGGAAAGCAAAGAAUGGAAUGUCUGUUCUGUAACAAAGAAGAAGGUUGCUUGAUUAGGCUGAGCUUCGGUCCAGCUUGUUGUUACAUGAGUCUUGGCUUCAGCAGAUGGAUCCUAUUACUAUGUUGAUGAUCUUGUAUACUAACCGAGUCCGCACUCACUCGAGAACACGUAUGUCCUCCCUGUAAUUGUCUUGUCUUUGUUAUGGUUUUAGGGCCUACAUCUACCCGUAUGGAGACACCAUCAUUCGCAAGGCUUGCUUUACAUUGGACCCAAUGUUGAGCCUCUCAUAGCCCAUAUUUCUGCUGACGAAGGAUAAGAGUGCGCCCCUGCGGAUACACUUCCAUACCAAGAAAGUCAUGGAGAAGGCCCGACGUCUUUCAUAUUUUCAUGAGCAUGCAAGAACGAAAGAAGAGCAAGUAUUCCCUGUUGAUCACUACCUGUGAGAAAAAUAUCAUCGACAUAUAAAAGAAGGUAGAUACUAUCCCCAGAUGUGUGAUGAAUGAAUAAAGAGGUAUCACAGUGGGGCCUGUCUUCUGUCCGGUUCUUGGGUCCGGUUGAGCCUCUUUGAAAUUACAUCCCUGCCUCUCGUCUAACUCGAGUUGCCCCACUCCUUUGGCACCACUAAGAGGGAUUAGAUUACCAACCCCUCUUUCUAACUAGAACUUCAGAACAGCUACGCUUGUCGCCCGCUAAAGCAAUUAUUGCAGCUCUAGUUGAACCAAUUGUAACUGCUCCGGUGGAUCAGAGCUACUCGAAAACCAUGAUAGGUGCUUGAGAUCAGAACUGCUUACAGCAGCCUUGACCUGGUCCAAUGGAAAGGGAAAACUGAAAAAUUGAGCAUAAAAAAAAUCUAGAGAAUGGGCUAUUACGUGUAAACAAUGGAAAUUCAAUAAUAAGAGUCUGAUCUUCUUGCUUAAGAAUAUGUGAUUCCUACGGAGUGAAGUUGUUGGGGGGAAGAAAAGAUGAGGAAGCUAGUUUAAUUGAGGAAGCCACUUUCUUUAAUGUAUACUAGCUAGUCUACAAAAGCAUGAUGCAUGACGCUUCUCCUUUUUUUAGUCCACUCUCCCUUAGAAAACGGAGCUGCUUGAAAGCAGAUUUUGAAAUUACAUAGGUGAAUGUAGAGAUCACCGGUGUCCGAGUUUUAUCGGCCUUACGUAACUGCGAGCUUCCACUAAGGGGCCGUGGUCUAGGCUAAAUUAUUUUUAUUAGAAAGAAUGAAUGGAAAAAGGAUGCUUCUGUUAUGGUUUUUAUAGUUGCGAGAAUUUUUUUUUUCCCAUAUGCCGCUCCGCCAGCAAGGAGCGAAAGAACCAAGUUUUCUGUGGUGAUGUCAGAAUUUGCACCUAUUUGUAUCUAUUUAGUGAUCAGCCCACUAGUUUCUUUGAUCCCACUCGGUCUUCCUUUUCUAUUUUCUUCCAAUAGUUUGACCUAUCCAGAAAGAUUGUCGGCCUACGAAUGUGGUUUCGAUCCUUUCGGUGAUGCCAGAAGUCAUUUUGAUAUAAGAUUUUAUCUUGUUUCCAUUUUAUUUAUUAUUCUUGAUCCGAAAGUAACCUUUUUCUUUCCGACAAUGGAAGAAGUCUUGCACUGUGUGUUGUGUAUGUCUCAGGAGACGGUGGGUCCCAUUCCUUAUCCUAAUGAAGCAGCUGAAAAAAGGGAAUGUAGAGAAGAAUAUCCGUAUAAUAAAGCUUUCCCAACCGGCCAACGAUCCUUCCUGUGCGCUGAUCGUGGAUAAGACACUCAGAAGAAGAAAAAAUAACACGAAGAUGGUUAGCUGCAAGGUGACUGACAGAAAUUUCUUUUUAGCAGGAAAAUGGAAUCUAUCAUGAAGAAUCCGGGAUGAAGACAUAGAACCACAGUGUGAAAGAGGUAAGAGAGUGCCAUCUGCAAUGUUAACAGAAUCUUUGAUAGGUAAAGGAGGCAGACUGGACUUAAUGCUGGAAGCCGACUCUCGUUCUUUAACCUAUAACCGAAGAAAAAUGAGUUCGGAUCUUCUCUUUUUGAAGACUGGAAAGCGCCUUCUCUGUCUAAGGUCAGGCUUGCAACCUUACCACCUCGUAACUCGUUCUACCGUACUCCAGACCCCCGCACAUCAGAAGGGUGGACUGACCGCACUGGGUCGCUAAGAAAUAAGAAAUAUUUCAACGCGAUCUAAAAUGCUAGCUUGAAAAGGAAGUCCCUUACACUAGUCCAAUUCUUUUUUGGUUAUUAGCAAGCUAUGAAGAAUAUUUUCUCGAUCUUCACUUCAACUGGCCGGAUGUGGAUGGAACGUAUGCUAUGAGUGCUUUAGUUACGAUGUGGAUACCGGUUGUAUUCUAAGUUGAUUCAACAACAGCCUAAGUUUCCUUAUUUCAACAAAUUUCCUGAACUUAUAAUCUGAUGAUCGAGUCGAUUCCAUGAUUAUAAGUUCAUUCCAUACCGGACCAGGCCGGAAUAGGGUUAUAUACAUUCUCAUUAUGAGAAGGGGCCAUUCAGGCCUAUGUUAGGCAGCCGUAAUAUUUUGUUACGUUCUGCCGCUGUUACUCCAAAAUAAAAGGUUCCACACGAGCUCCCGUUCUGCGGCGUGGUGGCAGGACCGCUAGGGGAGUGGCUCCGGGUAUAGAUAGGGUGAAAUCUGCAGGGGUCAUGCAAAUACAAGCUUCACUCAUUUCCUCUUUCGGUUGGGGUUGGUUACUCUUCAUCUCUUGGUAAUUUCCUUAUCACGCAUAUCAUACAAUCUCAUAGGAAGUAGAAAGUAAGUCAAGUCCAAGGGGUUUACAUAUACUCAUAAUUGUUGUUAUAAUUAUUAUUAAUAAUUAUAAUUUAUAAUUUAGAAGGAUUUUUUGAUUGAAAAAAUCCAUACUGAUUAGUUAUAUAUCAAGUUGUAUUUUCUUAUGUCAUUAGGAAAACAAAAAUUGGAGAUUCAAAUCCAAGAAUUGUUCAUGCAUUCUAAGUCAAUAGUUAAUGGUUCCUAUUUUCAUAAAGUUGAAUUUUUGAUUUUGCGACUGAAAAUCCACAUUUGAUUUUUCAAUAGAUUUCAAUAGAAAGGUAAGAGAAAGUUUUGAACAUUAUGAAUUUUGAGAUAGACUCAAUCGAAAUUGAAAGGAUGAAUCAAACCCAAUCAAAAGGGUAGGAUUCACCAGCCGCUAGACAUAGCACAGAAGCCAACAGUAGUAUGAAUGGGACAGGAACUAUUCGACCUCUUUCAGGAAAGGGCCUUACACGCACAGGUCCGAUUACGCGUAUUCCUAAUCCUAAAUGGAAUGUAAUGAUGUAGGGAUCCAUAUGUAAACAUAGUAUCUAUUUAGAUAGGCCCAAAUGGCCCCUUCUCCUUUUUGGAAUGGAAAGAAGAAAGGAUGGUCGUAGAACACUGAUGUCGAAUUCACGAAAAAGAUCAUAUGUGAAAGAAUCAUCAGAUUAUGGGUUCCCAGAGUAGACGGAAUGGAGAAUGAAUGAAAUAGAAUAGUCUGGCAGAAUCGUAUGAUAGGGAAAGUGCGGAGCCUCCCACUUGUCUGGGUUACCGGGCUGGCUAACCUAACUAUGAAUUUCUAUCAAUGUCGGGAUAGACAGAGGUCUAGGAUAGUACGCUGUCGGAGUGAGACCGGGGUACAGUAACGAAGUUAGACCGAAAUGAACGACUCAAUUCCUCUAGAAGAAAGGAGAGAGAAAGAACAACAGUAUUUUAGUAAACACUUUUUUACCAAGGAUCUUGGAAAGCUUGGAUACUUGUUGGGUAUUGAAGUAGCAAGAUCAAAGGAGGGAAUAUCACUUUAUCAAAGGAAGUAUGUUACAGACUUUUUAGAGCAGACUGGAUUGUUGGGAGCAAUGUGGAUACUCCUAUGGAUCCGACUUUGAAAUUCAGUAAGGAUGAUGGCCAGCUCUUUGAAAAUCUAGAGAGGUAUAGACGUUUGGUUGGAAAGCUCAUCUAUCUGACUGUAACCCGACUAGAUCUAACCCUUGCUCUUGGACUGGUUAGUCAAUUCAUGCAGAAUCCAAGACAAGAUCACUGGGAGGCUUUUUGUCCUAUCUUGAGGUAUCUCAAGAAAACUCCAGGAAAAGGAUUGUUCUUUAGGGGAAAAGAUUCAAUUCUUUCACACGGAAGGAGACAACUCUCUCUUAUUGGCUUAGCCUUUCGAGUUGAAGGUAACUAUAGCUGUUCGGAACCCACAAACCAUCCCGACCGGGGGUCAGAAUUUCUUCGAAUAUGUUCUUGAAUUCAUUCGAGAUGUGAGUAAAACUCAAAUUAGAGAAGAAUAUGGGCCCUGGGUUCCUUUUAUUAGCACUAUGUUUUUAUUUAUUUUUGUUUCUAAUUGGUCCAGCUUGACAAGCAACCCUUCCUCUUGAUCUGAGGUGCGAAGAGAAAGAUUUCUUUUUUAUGACUUCCACUUAAUGAUCCUGGCCCAGAAAAGUGACCGACCAGGGCAGGGCCUGACCAGGUCAUCAUAAGAAAAUACUGAAAAAUCUUUCCAAAGUGAGAGAAGGAGGGAAGGCACGCUACAACUAACAUAACAGCCAGAAGAUCUAGCACCUCGGUCAGAGAGAAUGGGGCACGAGUUCUCUCUGAUUCAGAUUGUGAUCUACCGGUUACUGGCUUGGAGCAAUCAAGCUCAAAGAGCACUACUGGGUGGUGGCUUAUCAUCGUCUAUUAUCUAACCAAAAAGACAUGAAGUAAAAACGGUUCCAUUCCUUCUUAUUGUACUUCUGGGUCAACCCAACCCGAAUGGGAAGAAGAGGGUCAGCCAAACUGCGGUCCACAUUGUACGUUUGCAAUUGCAUACCUAUACAAGGGUUCAAGUUUUGAUCGAUAUUUGCAGAGUUGAUUAUCCCUCUCUGAAAUAGAAGGCUUAGAAGGGAGAUAAUGAAAUUAUGUGAUUGGGUCUUCGUCCGGGGCUUCCUCUUACCCUUUAAAAUCAAAAAAAGUGGUGAAGUCCAUCCUAAAGUUCCAAAUCUACAUCCAACACUAGAGGUUCCUGAUGAGAACAAAUUGUAAGGCUCCACUCGGCACCGUCGGAUCACUAAGGCCGACUUUCGUCCCUGCUCGACGGGUGGGUCUUGCAGUCAAGAUCCCUUCUGCCUUUGCACUCGAGGGCCAAUCUCCAUCCGGCCCGAGGAAACCUUUGCACGCCUCCGUUAUCUUUUGAGAGGCCUAUGCCGAACCAUAUUUACAGAGAAGCAAACUCUUCUGCAGAUUCUAUAGCCGGCUUCUCCCUUUCUGGUUUGCAUGUCUUUCAUUCUGAAUUGCCUCCUUUGACUCGUGCAUGCUUGCUCCGCAUGCUUCUUACCUUUUUGCUAGCUUCUUGAACUCGGAAUGAUAACACGAGCCCUAGAACAAGCAGUCUUAGCGAAAGAAGGUACGCGCACAUAAAAAGUGGUUGGACGGUGUCUUUCUCGAGAAGUUUCCAUAUAGGUUAUAAAGAGCUAUCUCAUAUCUAAUAGGAAUAAUCCAAUUCUUAUGUCUACUAUGGGAAACGGGGUCCCAAUACCAUCUUUUCGACGAAGUAGACAAAGGGUUCCCAUCAUGUUCGAUCUGAGAAGAGACAUGGAGAAGAAGAUGUCCUCCUCAAGGGGUCAACGCCCUCGCUCAGAACUAAAGGAUCCUCGCACAUCGGCACUCACUGCAUAAGCUCAUAGGGCAAGAUGAAGAUCCGAAAAAAGGUUAAAGAUAUCAUCAACUUCGCCUUGGCAUGCUUCCAUCAGCGCUGAAAAGAGAACUAAGGCAAGGCGGGAUCCACUGAAGAAGAUCCUUAUCCUUCUCCUUCUCUUUUUCAAGAGGGAUCCACUGGAGAAGAUCCUUAUCCUUCUCCUUCCCCGACCCCAACAGUUUGGAAGAUAUCUUGAGAAAAGGUUUUAGCACCGGUGUAUCCUAUAUGUACUUAAGUUUAUUCAAAGUAUCCCAAUGGUGUAACGUCGUUGACUUCUUGGGAAAAAGGAGGAAGAUGACUUUAAUCUCUUGUUUCGGAGAAAUAAGUGGCAGCUAUAGCUUCAUUGUUCAUCUUCCGCUCGCUACCGGAUUAGUGAACUUUACCAGAAACCAAUUCGAGGAAUUUCUGACACAAGUAUUCAAUUAGUUCGGACUUGUUUAGUAUUGAAUUGGAACCAAGACAAAAAAAGUUAUUCUUGCGAAGAAGCCCGUGCUUCUUUUCACACUUUCCAAGAAAUUCCAUAACCCCCAGGAAUAAAGGACACUCAAUCAAGAUCUCUUCUAAUUUCAUAACGGCACCCGAAGCUCAUUGGGCUUUCAGAGGCAUAACAGGGAAAAGCGGACCAGCUAAACUCACUGCAAAGAAAGCAGUCGCAGCCGGGGAUCUCCAUUCAAAGGGAUAGAAGUAAGAAAAUGUUGGAAGAGAUAGACCUCUUUCACUUAGUUGGAUUUCCUUAAGCAUAUAGAAACCUAGCGUUUUUUAUCUUUCUUCAGGAUUUGGCCUGAACUGUUCGGCAGAUUCCCACGCGUUACGCACCCGUUCGGGCUCUGGUGUAUAGAGAAGACCUCACCGUUUAAGAAGUAACCAUAGAAAUGAAGGAACCCACUAUUUAUUUUUUUAUUUCUUUUAUUUACUAUAUUUUUGAUACCUAGGAAAAUACAAUUUCUUAUUUCUUUCUUAUUUCGCAGUGAAAUACCUAAAAAAAAAAAAUCAUGGUCUGGAAGGUUAGAGUAGCGAAAGCCAUUGGAAUUUUUAUUUUAUACAUUGAAAAAAUCCGUUUUGUUAUUAAUAGACUAGGAAGGGGGAAAAUUUGAUUUCUAAUUGUAACUAAAUCUUCAAUUUCUUAUUUGUAAAGAAGAAAGUGAAGCAAAAUAGCUAGGCAUUGUAGAAAGGAUAGAACGUGCGCCUAAUCGCUUUCUCGGAUCGCUCCGGUAUGAUGGUUCCCCCGGGGGGGCCGCCAAUGCAACACGAUAGAAGAGUUCGCUCCGACGUGUAAGAUCCUCAAAUCAAAAUCAACCACGACUACCAUCUGCGGUCUAUUUUCGUUCUCUUCCCUGCCCCGGAAGGGGGAUCAAAAAAGGGUAGUUUGCUUCUCUCCUGGGCGGAUGGCUACUUAUGUAGUGGUCGGCCUUCCUACCAAAAUACCUUCUUAGUCGAAGAGCCCCUUUUAUACUACUAAGGACGCAGGAAGCAAAGAAACUUACGGGAAGGACAUUUUCUUCUCUGCCCACUCCUCUCCAAAGGCCAAGGGAGAGACUGCAUCCCUUUCCUUCGGUAGCUCUUUUGGUUUCCCAAGGAUAGCAGUAGCUGGAGCAAAGCCUACUUUCUCCUCUCCGCGAAUGAGAGAGAAAGUCAGAGGAAAAAACACGUUCUCUCUUUGCGAGAUCCAAAAGUGGAGAACGCAUAGCAUUCUAUGGGUACAUAGGAUCAAAUGUAAAGCAGCGCUCUCUAGGCAGAGUUUUAGGUCUGCUUCAAAGCUUCCAGGUUUACUUGUUUUAUUUAUGGUUAUAGAGAAUAACUCGGUCCCUUGCUUCCAUUAGUCAGGCGCAUGGAUCUCAUCUCUUUAGCUAGAAUUAUUCCUUUUGCAUAUAUAUCUCAUCGAUAAAAAAGAAAUGAUUUGACUUUCCCGUAGCUUUCUUCAAAACUAUUUCUUUUCUCUUUUUUUCUCACCUCAUAGUUUUGAAAUAAAUGUCUUUUUUCUUCUUGCUUCGCCUUCGCAUAGAAGAACGAAAGGAGAAAUCAAUGCUCUAACUCCGGCUCUCUCGCCUACUCUCAGAUGAAAUCACUGACUCAAACCCAUUGUCGAAUCCUACUCAGCGGAAUAUGGAGGUACUUAUGGCAAAACGGGCCAAUCUGGUCUUUCACAAUAAAGCGAUAGACGGAACUGCCAUGAAACGACUUAUUAGUAGAUUAAUAGAGCACUUUCGAAUGGCAUAUACAUCACAUAUCCUGGAUCAAGUAAAAACUCUGGGGUUCCAACAUCUGUCACGUCGUCCCAUCCUUCUAAUGAUAUAUUGCGAGAAGCUUUACGAAGCCAUUCGUGGUCUAUUUAUAUAUAGAUUAUCCUUUCUUACUGUGACUCGAGAAUUGAUAAAAGCACAUUCAGUUGGUUACAUGGUAUACCCUAUAAGGGGAUAUUUAUAUGAGAAAGGGGAGAGGACAAAAGCGUCAGUUGUUCACUGCCUAUGGAAUAUAGGGAGUGUGAUACAAAUGCACUUUUCCACCCAGUGCUCUUUUCCUUUGGCAUCUCUAUUUCAGUGAAUGAUUCGCCGUAACAACUAUUGAUAUUUGGCUUUUUGUUUGUUCUAUAAAAGAAUGAAAGUGGGGUAAGCCAACAAACUUUAAAAAACCAUGAAAACAACGUUUGGAUCAAUAUCUGUUCAUUCCAAGGAAGCCCUUGAAGUAGAGUUCUUACUGAUGAGUUUACUUCCUGAUACGGAACUACGUGGCAAGGGUAUUGGUGAGUCCAAAAGGCAUAACCAGAUCAAACGCCCCCGGUCAUUCCGAUAGCUUAAACUGAAAAUAAGAAAAGAUAUGACAAUCAAAAGAAGUCUAUACCUGUAGAUGAAAGAGGACAAAACUUCUACCCCGAGCACACACAAUGGAACCAUAGACAGUUAAGUAAAAUCCAGGAAAGAGAAAGAGGGUCUUAUGGAGGGAGGGGGGAGAGAAAAGGCUUGGGCCUACCUAUCCCGAUAGGACCCCAUAAAAGAAUGAGAGCUGUGGAGAGGUUCCAUAUUGCCGAGACAAAGGACAGCACUUCUGUAUGUGACCAAAUUUUCCUGUUAAAAAGAAGAUCUCUCUUCUUCUUCAUUCUCAAGAGAAAUGCUUCAACAAAACUGCCCUUCCAUAUAGAUCGUCGUGGCAUGAACGAAUUUCUUCGCUUCAAUUCCGCCCCCGCAAUGCAAGAGAUCCUAUUCUUUGGACCAGAUGAAAAGAAAGUGAACUGAAGUCGACUCGACUCUAGUGCUGUAAAUAAGAAGAAAUCUUCAUUCAGUGCCGGUAGAAAGUGGUGAGGGCUCAGGAAGUGAUGCAAACUCGACCAAAGGACAAGUCUGUUCUUGCUUCGUUUUCGGUUCCCGAUUCAAUCUUCACCUUUCCUAAUCAUGUUUUUAUAAUCAAUUUGAUCCCCCAAUUGAAUCGGGGGCAAACACCUACGAAAAUAUCGCUUGAAUUUAAGAAAAGGUCACUGGAAUAGCUCAUUGUGGAGGGAGCAGAACAUGGCAGGGGUAUUGGUAAGUCCAAAGGCAUAACCAGAUCAAACGCUCCCGGUACUUUUUCUUGUUCAAAGCUUAGCCGCACUGAUGAAGUUGAAUGCUCCUUUCGGAGAUUCGGUUCUUUCACUCCGUUUCAGAGUUUGGAAUCAUAGAAGGAAGCUUUCCAGUCUUCAAAUCUGACUUCCAACCUGAAUUAGAGGGGAGCUCCAAUUUGAAGCGUAGGCUACUAAGGAAGGCCCCUUUCCUUUUGCAUUGUCUCAUCUCGUGCAGAAGGAGGUUGAAUAGUCUAAGAAGAUGGCAAAACUCAUUGGGCCUGCCGCUUUCUCAAUUGAAAAUGGAAACUUUGAAUAUCACUGAAUAAUUCUCUCACUUACGUCAUUUCUUAUCGUCAGUCAAUCUUCAUCAAGAUAGCUGACCGAGUCGAAACCUACUGCUCAAGUCUUUCGAACCCAUCCACAAAUAGCUAGAAAAUAUUUUAUUAUUUACGACUUUGCUGCGGCUGUACAACAUGAGAAAGAGUAUACCAAAUAAAGGUAAAACCCGCACUGGAAAAAUGUUGAACCAUUUCUAGCACUUUUCAAAAUCCAUUUUUUUGCAAUGCCUUGAGUGGACAAGGUAAGACAGUACGCUCACUAGAUCCAUCAUACUAUUACUAAAGUACACUGAACACUCACUGAAUCUCGACAUCAAUUAGAUCAACAAAACCUACGAGCGAGAGAAGAGAGCUUCACAUCAAGUCAAUAUCAAUAGAAAGAGGUGCUUCUAACUAAUUCUGUCUGAGCCUUGAAUAAACUACAUUCUCUUCGAUCCCUUUCCGGAACCAGCCCUAGACCUCUUCUUUUGAAUGUUUUAUGGGGCUACUUUUUCAGUCGCAGGUGCUACUACAACUAAUUAGUUCUUCAGUUGAUUGGUGAACAAAGAAAUUUAGUACGGAACAGUAAAGUUUAAUGGAUGAGUAGGCAAUCUCGGCACAGUAAAUUUUAAUGGAUGAGUAGGCAAUCUCGACACUAAACUCAUUGCAUAAAGAGACAGGCAAGACGACGGAUUUUAUUGGUGAGUCUUCCACUGGGGGGAACAAUGAUUCUUUCCCCUAAAGGGUAACAGAAUGGGGUGGGGUCUCCUCAACUCGCUUUCCCACACAGCUGCCUAAGAGAUUAUUCGACAACAGUAAAACGACUGACUGAUAUGAGAUUGAGCGAGGAAAUGCCAAACUCUCUCUGUUGCGCUAGUUAAUCAUAUGCAAUCCUUAAAGUGCAGCAGGGACACCUUUAAAGGAGAGUGAGCAUCCCUUUAAGUAUUUUUUUUGAUUUUGAUUUUCUUUUUUUUUCUAUUUAUUUCUCUUUUUUCUAAAGAACUCUUUGCUAUCCCAUUUAGGGAUUUUGGGUUCUCACCUUCUCUCUGGGAUUUACGUUUUAAGUGUCGGGGGAUCACUUCCUAUUUCGGGCCCUUCCAACCCCUCCUCCUCAGAAGAUUCAUCCAACCUCCAGGUCUUGUCGGAGCUUUGGCCCAUGACUCACAAUGCGCAAGUCACUCCAUUAGCUCUAUUAGCUAUAGGAAGAGGAUAUCGACUUAUUAAAGGGGCGGGCGGCAGUCGGACCUUUUUAUGAACUGAUAGCGCAAACUUUAUGUCAGAAUCAAUCUGGCAUUCCGCUUCGAAAGGGAUUUGUUACGCGCGAUAUGCCGAUGACUUACUACUGGGAAUCGUGGGUUCCGUCGAGCUUCUCAUAGAAAUACAAAAACGUAUCGCCCAUUUCCUAUAAUCUGGCUUGAACCUUUGGGUAGACUCUGCAGGAUCAACAACCAUAGCUGCAUGAAGUACGGUAGAAUUCCUCGGUACGAUUAUUUGGGAAGUCCCUCCGAGAGCGACUCUCAUAUAAUUCUUGCAAGAGCUGGAAAAGUGUCUACGGGUAAAGCACCGUAUCCAUAUAACUGCUUGCCACCUACGCUCCGCCAUCCUAUUGCGAAAACUGUCUCUGCAUAGGGGAAUGCCAAUGGCUUCAAGCAAGGAACGUAGUGUGACAGUUCCUCUGACAUUUUCUUGCAAUCUUCCUCCUAAUAUCUUUAACAGGGUUGUUUUCCCACUGCCAGAAGGCCCCAUUAAGGAAAGAAUUUCACCCUUUCUUCUUCGAAUAAGGAGCUUUUAGAAUGACUUCAAUUGGCACACACAACAUUACCCGCAUCAAGUUGACCGCCCCCCUACGUAGUGAUUCUAUCAAUCAUGACGUAGGUAGGACCCUCCAUUCUGAUUGGUAUAUCAUGAAAAAAGNNNNNNNNNNNNNNNNNNNNNNNNNNNNNNNNNNNNNNNNNNNNNNNNNNNNNNNNNNNNNNNNNNNNNNNNNNNNNNNNNNNNNNNNNNNNNNNNNNNNNNNNNNNNNNNNNNNNNNNNNNNNNNNNNNNNNNNNNNNNNNNNNNNNNNNNNNNNNNNNNNNNNNNNNNNNNNNNNNNNNNNNNNNNNNNNNNNNUGCUGGGACUUUAAUCCAUCUUCAAUGAACCAAUCAAAGCACCUAAGAUCGACUUGCUAAUUCGUCAUAUCUUUUGAAAAAGGGACCUGUAGAAAAAGAUUUGACGCGAAGGAGUAAGAAGGAAGGGCUGCACUACUAACAUAAAUACUACCGCGAACAAACUCACAACGGCAUCUAAGGGAGAGUAAGCAAAAAAAAUGUGAGCGCUCCUGCACUAUACGGACAGCUUUUUGGCGGUAGGGUUGGGGCUUGAGGCAGAUUUAAAAAAAAAUGGUUGAUUACUCAGAUUCGGGAUCAAUUUGACAAUGAAACUCUUUAAGCAAUGAUCUUAUCUAUGUCAUUUCUCUUGACGCGAUACAAAAGACGACUUUCGAGAGUUACUUAGCCUCUUGACCUCUUCUCUCAAAAAAGACGUUGUACGGGCAAGUCGAUCUGUAUAGGUUGGGAAAGGGCCGGGUGGAUUACCUUUGAAAGCUAAGUCGAAGAUCUCGGUGGUCUUGUGAGUGGUUGAUAAACUACGAUUGCAGUUUUCUUUAGGAAGUCCCAUAGCAGUGAGGCUUAACAGAUAAAGAAAAGGGUGGAUACUUUUUCGGGUAGAAGGUGACAACCCUAAUGAAUUGACUAUGAAGGUGGCUCUUAGCUACAUCAGCGCUCAAAUUCCUUAAUAGUUAUUGCCCAGGCUUCGAUGAUCAACCCCUGGCACAUUUAGGUUUUGAUCUUCGGCCAUCCUGGUCCUCAGGACCCAACACUAUAUUAUUCCACUAUAUUUCCUUUCAAAUGAAAAGAUGCAAAAGGUGUUGAUACGUCCUAUCCACAUAGAAAUCUUACCCUCUUCCACAUAUUACCGGUGGAUGCUACAGCUACUAUCACUUUGGCUUUUCUAAUAUUUCUAGUACCAACUAAUUCAUUCGGGCGAGACAUCUUACGAUGUCAUGAUGCGCCCAUUCCUAUGGCCAUUCCUUUAAUACUUCUGGCUCUCAGGAAAAUCUUUGUAGGAUACUUGGCCAAAGUGUGACCUGUUAGCCCAUAAGUAAGUACUAUGACGAAGCGGCUAUUGCUCACCCGACACGAUCAGCUCAAGCUUCAAAGGAUCCAUCAGCAGCAGCUCAAGUUUCAAUCUUUCUUCCUAACCAAAGCGGGGCACUCAAAAUCGUCGUUGCCAACGGUACAAUCUAUGGUGCCUCCAAGGCAUCCAGCCGAUCCUUAACCUUCCAAGUGAGAAAAAGUACACCACACUUUUUUAUCAGAUUUGCUCAGAAAUUCACAUUCGAUGAAUCCUAUAUUUAUUGGGGAAGGUUUUGAUUCUUUGCUAUUUCCUCUUUCUCCUCCCUAUUAUUUGAUUAGUGCUGCCUGAAAAGAGUUCCCCAUAAGAGGGAUAGUCAUAACAAGAUUAUGAUUAGCGAUUUUAGAAUGGGGAUUCUGUAGGGCCUUGGUGGCCCAUAAGGGGUUCAUACAACAGGUAUAAAGUUCAUCAAUCGGAAAUCAAGACAAACCGGGCACUACGGUAAGACGUGAAAACACCCGAUCCCAUUUCGACCUCGAUAUGUGAAAUCGUCUUGCGCCAUAUGUACUGAGAUUUUUCGGGAGACAUGGUCCAAGCCCGGUGAAAAAAUACAAUCAAAAAAGAUUAUGAUGUCAAAGCACCCUUGUUUUUCCAAUUUCCCAGCUACUGCGUGUUGAUUAUACUUAUUUAAGUAUGACGUUUUGUAUAUUUUGUAUUUUGCUUCUUUUUUUAUGGUUUUUCCUUUGAUCUGCUUAUUCCUGUGAAGUUAGUGUGAAUGGUUUCCAAUAAUACAAAAGAAAGAAUUUCCAAUUUACAAGAUAUGAUCUAUCUGGAUAGUUUGUUCUAGACAGUUUCCAUUGUUUUUGCUGUCGGUCUAGAUGAGGGACGAAGGGAUCUCCUGUCCUCUACUGACCCACCCCAAUCAGCAUUACUAUAGAUUUCUACUCUCCCAUGGCCAUGAUUAGUAUAGAUCAUACCUUUGCCAGGAUAACCUUUGAGGUACCUCAAGAUCCUGUAUACUACAUGUAGGUGUGCUUGACAAGGAGCAUGCAUAUACUGGCUUACCAACCCCACAGCAUAGGUAAUGUUAGGUGAGAAUUAAUCCCAAUCGAAUUUAUAGAAGGGAGACCCUCUAUUCUCUUAAUCUUUAGAGUAGAUAUUAUAUAUAGGAUAAUUAGUCCACUGCGGUGCAAAAGACAAGGCAAGAUAAAUAGGAAUGUUGAAGGGACAUAAGGCUCAGCUAAGGUAAGGAAAGACCCUGACCAUCUAGGUCACCAAUCUUAUUUUUUAGGGAGUCGGAGAUGAUCAAAGAGGCAGCAAAAUAGGAACUUUCGAUCAGGGAGAGCUCAACAAGGUCGAGACCAAGAUGAUGGAUAUUCCAAGAAAGAUCGAAGAAGAUGAAUGAAGGUUUAUACCUACCCCUAACUGGCGAACAUCCAGGGGAAUUGCUAGACUUGGGGUUGUCCCAUCAACUUCUAUUAGAAUAGACUCGAAAUGGGAAGCCCCUAGCGAAAGAAGUGUGGCUUCAAGUCAUGCGACUAAAAGUGUGUUUUCUUAAGUCUUUCUCUCAUUUCGAAAGAAGAAAGGGCUCGUGGAAUAGAAAGAGUUCGUUGCAUCAACAAAGUGUAGUAGUCAAAAAGGCUUAAUUAAGCUCACGAUGUGGAUUCGAACCACUUCUUCUCCUUAUUAUCGUGAGCAGGUCUGUCGUCCUCCUCAUUAUAGUCCUCCUAGAAUCCAGAGCAUUUCGUUGGGGUUGUGGGGCUUACUUCCUAGCCCCAGUGGGAGUAGUGACUAGCGUUAUAGGUCGUUGGGCGGCCGGAAGGUUGCCACGAGGUUUGGAGGAGAAUUGGCCAUUCAAUCUUGUGAACUAAUCGAGACCGAAAUUGGAAAAAGAGAUACGAACAGAGAGGAAUAACCAAUCGAUGAAAGAACAUAAAACUAUUCUGUUUCAAUAGAGGUACGAGAAACGGUUGGGGACAAUGAAGUAGGCGGAGAAUUGAGAAAGAGCUUAUUAGCUUAUUUCAAAUUCGAGUCACACACCGACCCGGGCAAUCACUAGCUACAAUCGAUGGAAUUUUGAUUGAAACUAUUCACUUAGUGUUCGCCAUGGAUGAUAGAAUUCCUCCUGGAAGCGAAGGUAGCAGCAAAGCCUAUUGAUUCACCAGUUUGCUAACCUACGUGUCGGCUACCCGCACUCUGUAACUAGAAUAGGGCUCUGGACUUAAAACCACCCGCUUUUAGAAGUCUGGAAGGCGGCGCCUAAACUAGUCGGACUUGCUUGAAUCGAUACGCUUACCGGACUUCUCUGCCUAUUCAAUUUAUUUUGUUGCAGACUCUUCCCCACGCCUAUUUCUUCCCCCAGCCCUGUAGUGGAGCUUUCCCCCCGCCCUAGGCCUAUUGAGAUCUUUCCCUGUGCAGGUAAUUUUGGGCUCUGGAGAGGAAUACCCGGAUCAUCGGAACUUCAACCAGAAGAGGUAGUCUUGGGUUCCUGGUAUAGGUAUAAGAAAGCCAGUAACCCUUUGCUUCGCAACCGUCGUCUUUUAGCUGAUUGAUGAGUGUCAAAGAUAGACGUGUCACGCCGCAUGAAGAAAGUUAUCAAGUUUAUUUCUGUGCCCCCUUUUUUUCGUCGAAAUAAAUUUAUGCACUAGAGUGCCCCUUUCGGUCUUGCGGCGCACUCACUCCCUUUCCUUCCGCUCACUUCUAGACCCUUCGCUCCCGGUUAGUGCUCUUUGUCCCGGUCUAUUCUGGGUGAUAUGAUAUCAUAUAGCCAGGAAAAAGGGAUCUACUAGUCAUCGCCUUUGAGCUGGUAUUACCUGGAGUGCUGUGUCCUAAUAGCCUACUGGUAUACAAGCACACCGUGCUCUAGGUUAGUUAAGCCUAUGAGCAUAAAGAAGGAAGUCUGCACCAGCCCACUAGCAAAACAAAAGGCAAGGAACUUUUUUCACUAGUAUAGUAUCGGAGACGAGGUUCGGUGGGAAAGUGAGCUGAUCUCGCCUUUGUUGAUCUGCUUUAAUAGAGUUGACCCUGCUACAUCGCGAUCGUUUAUUCCCAAUCAAGAGAGAAGAAAAAGCACACAAAGCACAGAUUCAUGUCCGUCCCUGACUCCAUUUCUUGUCUGAAAGAGAAAAAAAUAGGCUACCUUAUUCUAUGAGUCGAAGACAGCCUCAAAGCGCCAAACGAACGACCCUAACCAAUUUCCAGGCAAGAUCUAAGCCAAAUGAGCCUAAUCGUAACAAGCUUGAAUGAAAUCAAUGGGACCGGCUUAGCGAUAUGGCAGAUAGACCCCUAACAUUUCCUUGAUCUAAUGCUUUUUUUACGAGUAGAGUCGAUUCAGAUUAGGAGAGGGAAAAAACCUGAGCUCUAUGAUUUCAAAAAGGGGAAAGCAUACUACAAGGGGAAAUCUCCUAUUUCUAUCUAUUGAUGAGACAACUAUCUAUUCUUGAUCCAUCAGAAAGAAAUCGAUAUGUAUCUAAUAGAGUCUACAUCGUAUGUAGAGCGCCCAACCGCUUUUUAGGCCAGCUCAGUUCUCUUAUCCAUCGGUCCAAUGCACUGGGCUCAUCUCAUGGAGGGAAAAUCAAAAAUGUAGUUGUCUUAUUCGCCGCCUUGACGCAUUCCCUUCUCUCCCUGGUAUCGUCCCACACAGAAAGAAAGAGCGCAGAGCCCCGGCCCGACCUGCAGGUCCCUGGUAAUGACAGGGUAAAGGCUGCAUUAAUAUUAUCAGUGUGAAAUCCCAUGUUUCAAAUGAAACUAAGCCAUUCUCAUCCUAUAGGUUUUCGAUGAUUACAGAUCAGAUGGGUGUCAAAAAUGGUUGAGAGACAGCUAGGAGCUACCAUACGGUACACUAUGAUACCCCCGGUAACCUAUGUAUGAAGUGACUCGACUGAAAGGAGAGGGGUCAAAACUCACUGAUUGGAAAGGGGAGAAAAACAAAGCAAUGCCAAGAGCUUCGUCAAUCCGCUGUUCAUCGAUAGAUGGGAUUCUUUUAGGGUUCAUACAUGCAUUGAUCCAGUCGAAGAACCUGCUCCAGAGCGACAACUACCAAAAAAAAAGUGAAGGAGAGCCACUUUUUGUAUAGUAUAGAGUAUGACUAAAAUUCCAAGCGCUCCUAGCUCAGAAACCACACACAGACAAACAUAUGGAGGCCGCCAGACGAAAGAGAUCGGAAAGUUAAAGAUUUUUUUCCCUUAAGGCUAUCUAAGAGGCCUUUCUUCGUGCUUGGAUUUCUUCUCACGAGUUGUUGGGUGCGGCAUAUUCAUGGACUGGCAAAGCGAACUCUCAAUUUGAUCAGGAGAGCCUAGAGAGCUCUCUAUCUUUCUGUAUAAAAAGGGGUCGAGAACUACAUAGAUCUGAGACUUUCAAGAACCGAUGUUGUACUUCUUUAGUAGAAUGCUCCGUAAUCUAUCUAACUUUUCUGAAGCUGAAUUCAGGGCAGGUUUAAUGCUUGCCCGAUUUUGAGGACCCUUUAGCAGAAUCGUGGCUAGGGAACUAUACUAGCGACCUACCCAAUUUAUUGUAGAAAUUUUUGCGAUCAAUGAUUGGACCAUGCAAACUAGAAAUGCUUUUUCUUGGUUAAAGAAAUAGAUUACUCGAUCUAUUUCCAUAUCGCUCAUGAUAUAUAUCUUAACUCGGACAUCCAUUUCAAGUGCAUAUCCUAUUUUUGCACAGUAGGGUUAUGAAAAUCUGCCAAGGCUCGAAGACCUCUGGGACAUGGAACAGUACUUUAAGGCUGUUCGUGCCCCUUUUGAUGACCAAGGCACAAUGGCAACAAUCUAUCUCCCUGGGGAUGCGAAGAAUAUUUGAAACGACUUUCGUCACCACCUCUCACCUAUCCUACACAUUCGAUUAAGGUUGUUACUGCGAAGCUAUAGUUAAGGUGCACGGGGUCUUACUGUCUAGCCGUUGGUACUCCGCAUCUUCACGGAGAAUUCAAUUUCACCGAGUCCAUGUCGGAGAGGUUACGCUGCAUCACAAAGAGCAAUUGUGAGGAAUAGCCAUUCUAGAACAAUCAUUUGGUUUGGUUCAUUCUUUGACUGCUCUGCUCCCAGAAAGAGAGACUUUUUCUUGCUCACGGAAAUCACCGGUUGGGUUGGUCCAACCGAAAUUGAAGAUAAGUCUUUUGAUUGGGGGGUGACAACCGAGGCUUUUAAGAGAAGUUGCCAUAUAGGUUAUAAAGAGCUAUCUCAUAUCUAAUAGGAAUAAUCCAAUUCUUAUGUCUACUGUGGGAAAUGGGGUCCCAAGACCAUCUCUUCGACGACGUAGACAAAGGGUUCCCAUCAUGUCCGAUCUGAGAAGAGAGAUGAAUUUAGAAUACCUACGUCCUGGUAAACGAAAACCACCACGACCGGAUCAGAGUAAACAACACAAUGUCAAAUCAGGCCACCCUUUGCCUUGAAAGAUUUCACACGCGGCCACCAACUUUCCCAAAAUAAGGGGAGAUCUGCUGCAUACUGCUCACGGAAACAUCCGACCUGACGAAUCGGAUGCGCUCACCCAGCGAGAAAGGCCCUGACCCUACCAACCAGCAAUAUUGGAUAGAGUACCUAUGAAGAUGUCUUAUACUUAUAAAUCCUCUGUCGCACUUUCUAUGGCACGUUAGGAGCACCUCAGAAAAAGUAUAUUGGUGGGCAUGUCUACGAGCAAUCUUAUUAAGGCGAAUGCAUCCGUCGGAAGGUCUAUUCCUUAACUAAUAAUAAAAAUAAUAGACCAGAAUGGAUGUUUUCAAAUUCUUCGUCAGAGGAGAAUUGAUCACCCACCUUUAUGCGAUGAAUGGACAGGUUUUCCAAUGGUGCAGCUUUACCUGGCAUUCUAUUAUAUAAUUAAUAUAGAAUUAUAUAAUAUAGGGUCAUCGGUCGAUAGGUCUGUCUACUCCCAAGCUUGAUUUCUCUAGUUGGUACUAGAAUUGCUAAUGGGACGGUUAAAGACUGAAAUCUGAGAUCGGUUCCUCUUUUGGGGAGUUCACUCUCAACCAAGCGCGGGCUUUUCUGCUCUCUCCAGGAAAGAUCAAAAGGUCAGAAGUGGAUUCGCCCUGUGUGCUUCUCGCGACGUGCUUAUUUUAUUAGUAAUGACCGCCCUUAGAUACCGUUGCGAGUUUGUUCGCGGUAGUAUUUACCUUAGUAGUGCAGCCCUUCCUUCUUCCUUCUUCACGUCAAAUCUUUUUCUACAAGUCCCUUUUUCAAAAGAUAUGACAAAUUAGCAAGUCGAUCUUAGGUGCUUUGAUUGGUUCAUUGAAGAUGGAUUCAAGUCCCAGCGGAAUUACAGCUAUGCCCUUUUCCGAAAUGCCUGACUUUGUUGAGCAGCUACUUUGCAUCCCCUUUUAUAUAGGCUUUCCGCUUUUAGCCGUUCUUUUUUUCUCUGCGGCCUGUGUGGGACUGAUCCGAACUGAUAACCCGAACCCUUCGUAGACUGAACUCUCUUCUCUUUGGACUCGCGUAGGUUAGGGAACUCGCCUCAUUCACUGCUUCCACUCCAACUCGAACUAAAAACCUCUUCCUCAUCUUGACUCAGGGCGUCUUCAUCAGUGAGUAAAUCCUCAUCAUCAUCCUCUAUAAGAUAAAAGAACCUAACUCUUGGGCUUGUGAAGACUCUUGGUGAGGCUGUUCCAAGUGUGUAGGCCCCACAUCUUGCUCAUCUCCCCCUGUUGGGGGUCUUACAGUAGCUAUGGACAUAGAAGGAAUUCUUUGCAUGGCUUUUAACGUUUGGGUUCAAUAACAUUCACCUUAGUGGGACCCCCCAGCGCGAAGCCAGCUGAAGGAAGGUCGUGUUAGCGCCCCCUAUUUCACUAAAGCAAGAAGGAAGAAAGUUGACUUUGAGAAAGAAGGGCUUCUAUUUAGAUUAGGUCCUAGAUCAAAAUAUUAGGAAUCAAAGCAAGGAAAGUAGCAUUGAUGGAACGGGGGAUCGCACCUUCAGCGAAGAAAUAAGGUGACCAGCUAGAAAUUUUUUGAAAUCCCAACAAUAUUCUUAUUUCUUUAUUCCAUAUUUAGAAAAAGGUUAUUGAGACCUUCAAGCGAGAAAGGUGCUACGUCGGGGCCUCCUCAAGGUAAUUCGGAACCACUUUAAGGCUGUUUAUUGACCAUAGCAACGCAAUGUUCAGUGGUGGGGCAAAGCACUAGCGAGAAGCUUCCCUUGGGAUUGUUUUCCCAGGCAAUUUGCCUUUUUUGCGCUUAUACGCUUUUCUCUGUCUUUGAUGUCAAGCCCAGUCCCAGUGACCCAUUGGCGGUAUUGUAAUAAUAUUGCUUGCCACUCUUCGGUCCGGUAAACCAACUCCAACCAAGCCCAACACUUAAGAUGGCACUACUUCAACACUCAAUCGCACAGCAUUAAAGGUAGCGAGGCUGACUGGCACUUGCGAGGGAGUUUAGUUUAUAACCUCGUAGGCCGGGAAUGCCAUCAAGAACCCUUUUCCUCUUGGUCUCAGUGUCAGCCAAGUUAGCAUCGGCUCUAUCAUUUGAAGCUUAUGACAUUGAUGAGUGAUCCAACAGUCUUGAGUGGCAGUUCUCCAAGGAGAAGGGAUCCCAGGUAGGAGAGCCAGCCGAGCCAGGGGAAAGCGGUAGUCAAAGACUACCCGGGAGUAGGUUCUAGAAUUUAUUCAGAGUUGUCACUCCUCAAUCUUCGAAAUUCCAGCGAUAUACGACUUGAUACUUAUCAGUGCUACAUCUUGCUAACGUCGUCUGAAUUUCCUUGAAAGCGCUACAUCUAUAUGGCAAGCCCACAUCGCCUUCGUCUCCCAUUGUAGUCGUAGAUGGCAGCAGGAAAGACGGGAGCACGAACGAGGUAGCUUAUGCUUUUUUUCAUCCUCACUACCGGAUCACCUUUGGUCGAAUUAUUACGCGGAAGCGCUAGUGUGGGACAAUCUACUUUGACUCAUUUUUAUAGUUUACACACUUUUGUAUUGCCACUUCUUACUGCCGUAUUUAUGUUAAUGCACUUUCCAAUGAUACGUAAACAGGGUAUUUCUGGGCCUUUAUAGAUAGAGCAAAAAAAAUAUAUCCUAAAUAUUUGUAAUCAAUCAUUUAUCACUUGGUGGAGGAAUAUAUAGUAUUUCAUUGCUACAAGUAUGGAUUCACUGACGUCUAAGCUCUCAAGGACUUGUAUUAGUCAACAAGAAUGAAAUCUAAGAAAGCUGGUAGCUCGAGCGAGGAACGGAGCCUAUCCACUCAAUGGCCAACGGUCCGUUACCGAUUUCAAGUCAAAGGAAUAACAUUCAUUCUUCUUUCCUCUUCUCAAUUUCAGCAAGGGACGCUCUUGGUCGAAAGUCCCAUCCGUUGAAAUACGAGAUAGAACUUCCAUUGCCCACUUAUGAAUAGGAAAUAGAAGUCGCAAAAUACGAGGAUGACAUGUGGCUAGGGGUGAAAGGCCAACCAAGAUUGGAUAUAGCUGGUUUUCCUUGAAAUCUAUUUCAGUAGAGCGUAUGAUGUCGAUGGCCAAAGAUAGAGCACCUCAUACAGUGCUUUUUCAUUUGAUAUAGCUACCAACCAUUCUCAAUCCUUAGAACUAUGAUAGGACACCGUCAGACGAUUGAGUGUUGGCGACCAAGAAGCUACUCGACCGCGGCCGUCCUACAGCCGCCCGAAGAGGAACUGCAGUGAUCUUGAAUAGGGAUCCUACCCUAAAAAGACUAUUUCAACCCCCAACUAUUUCUCUGACCCCCUUUCCUUAGCAGUUCCAAAUUACUUAUCUUUCUCAUUCAGUAGAGUGUGGGUGUGAGUCAGGCGUAGUAUCCUCACUGUUCUUGUUACAGAAUCGACUCUGAACGCUGUUCAUGGUUAGCUGUAAGAAAGAAUAGCGAUUGUUGAAGAAGUUUGCUCUUUCGACGACUCUUAUUGCUCUAAAUAAGCUCUCAGCCUUUAGGAGUGCAGGCACGACUAGCUUACUCCAACCUUCUUGUGUGACCGCAUGUUGGAGAAAAGAGUUCCACAUCUUACUCUAACGUCAAUGUUAGGAUUUCAGUCUCUUUAUUUUAAAUAAAUAAGUUUCCAUUUGAAAAGUUUCAGUCACCGGUAACUAAAGCGUAUCGUUCCCGCAACCACUUUGGUACUUUUUUUAUAGCUUUUUUAAGUUAUACAAUAGAAGGGGAGGGCUUGCGCUUGAAUUGAAAGUAGCGCCUUUGGAAUAUGAGUAGGGCUUCUAAGUGGCGCGUUCAUGGAGGCAAAUCGAAGGAAGAGAAAAAGGAAGGUUGGGUGUUUGUGGGGCGCGGCCAUCCGGCCCCGAAUAGGAGGGGGCAACGCUCUGGAUCCUCCCUGCUUGCAGAAAUGAAUGGAUCAAAAAGUCAUCUCGGGAGAGAUACGAUCGGGAGGAGCUAAUUCAAACCCCUCCGGUAAAAUAAGAACAAACCCCCACGUUCAACCCCCCUUUUUCCCUCUAAAGCCCCUCGCUCCACUCAUUUUGGAACUUCUAAUCAAACCUGGCUGAACUUGGAACGACAUAGAUCAAAGGGUCGUUCAUUAGCCCUACUAGUCAAAUACAGGAAAAAGAGGGAUGGAUUUCGACCUUGCUUUUUUAGGUCUCAGGCUAGCUUUUGACUUAUAUGGCGCUUAGACUUAGCUCAUCAAACAAGUGCACCAAAAGUGGGGGAUGGUAUCAUAUUCUCUGUCAAGUUGGUUGGCAUCAUUAGCUCCUUUCUGUCUUUUGAUUGUCCGCCUCCGCCCGAAUAGAUACGCACUAACCCACCUGAAAUAAGGUAGGAGGACAGAAAGAGGUAAUACACGAUCAAAGGAUCUAACAAUAGUCAUAUGAUUGAAGGCUCAGCGUGCUUCCUAGAAAUGAGGUUUAUCCUUAGCGUGAGGCAGGUCUUCUUUCCCACCAUGCCCGCCAACCGCCCUCACUUCGCUCGUCUCUGUUAUUCAUUUUAUGUAGAAAGAUGAGACCCAUUAGGAGAUAACCAUGGCAUAAUCUAACCUGAGCCACACAAAGACUCCCUUAACAGUGCGAGCACUCCUGAAAAUUGGAAUAAUCAGAGGCGCAUCUUUGUGAUAUGUCCAUGAUCCGAGGUUUAGCUAGAAUUUCGUAUGGUGAAGAGGAAAGGAAGAAGUCAUUGUAAAGGAAGAAGAAAUUGACCAUUUCCGCUGCCUGCCUAAAUGUUGAUUGGUAGGUCUUAGGUUCUCUGUAAGUAGAGUGAUUGCAAAAACCUAGGUAUGUUUAUUUAACCUAAUAAUAAUAGAAGGUUUGAGUUGUGAUAUACUAUCCUCUGCAGCUGUAGCUAUGUGGAAGCCAGCUGCUUAAAGACUAGACCCCUAACCAUUCCGCUAUUCCUGCCCUAAAGCAAUGGAAUCUGCUCUGACCCACAACCCCUUGCCAGAUUGACAGUGAAUGAAUCCUUGUCAGACAAGUGCUUUCCUCGCUACGAACUACGCGAACUUAAUUGACUUGGAACUGAAUGUACUGAAACAACCAAGGCUCAACUCCUGUUGGUGCACAAACACUACAUCCAGCAAAAAAAAAGAGAUCCCCGGCUGUGACUGUUUUCUUUGCAGUGAGUUUAGCUGAACCCCUUAAUCCAGGACUUCGAGAACUUUACCAAUAUUAGGAAUUGGGGUGCUAAUGCUUGCGAAAGUCAUUAAAGUGUAAGCUUUACUGCCUGACAGUAUGGAGUACUGACCACACCGAGGGACAGGCCCUGAAGCAAAGAACGGGAAUGAGCGGAAUCAAUGUGUUCUAAUUUCUAGCCCUGCACCGACCAUCCAAUGGACCAUGGACUAAACGGCCACUGCCUGAAAGGACUAUGUCCAGGGGACCGCCGCCCCUCCCCCCACAAGGUACAUCUCACGCCUAUGGGCUGCUAUAACUAUCCAAGAAGACACUCGAAACUAGAAGGAUAAACAAACCCACCCGGUGGACUGCUGAGCUACAAGUCCUAUGACACAGGAGCGGAAUUCUCUAAAAAGCCAAGGUUGUGGGUGGCCAAGAGGGCCUACUUGUGGGAUCUCACCAGAAAAUGCGAAGGUUGCAACAAGCCGGCCGGCCAAAGAGAAUUAACUAGUUUAGUUCUGAUCUGAGUAGGCUCAUAAUAGGGAAUACCCUAACCCUGGGAACCGAGGCCUGGCCAUCCUUCGUUUGUGGUCAACGUUUUGGCUUUGUCCGUCGACAGCUGAAUAUUUUGAUCUGGUUUGAUUCAUGAUGAAUCUAAUCUUUUGCAUCAAAACCGAUUACAGUCUCUUUCCCAGGGUCAGGCUACUCUAGAAGAUCAGCAGUCUAGCCCAGUUGCUUCCCUUCCAGUCGCUUUCUAAAAUUAUGGAUCCCGCUCUCAGCUUCAUCGAUCCCCUCAAGUUUCUUAUCCUGUGAAGGCUUAUGAAUUGUUUUCCCCAAAAGAUCAAGCUUACCUCAUCUCAGUUCGAUCUUCUCAUGAACCUGAAUCAUUUGCUAAGAUGCUUUCACGUCAGAAGUGGGAAAUCCGCAGCAUGUUAUUCAGUCACCCUACUCGGGUGGGAACUACUAUCGUCGAAAAUACCUUAAAUAGGUAUUUGUCCUAGAUGGAACGGAAGGGCACGCGACAGAGUCUACCCUAUCUAAGGGUGAUUCGCACAAGCCGGUUUUAGGUCUGAAUGGGUUCGGCUGGCGAAUUUGGCUUUGCUGCGCCCAGGUGGGUGUUACCUCCACAAGAGUUGCACUUCCUCUUGAAUGCACAGAGAGCUUGCCCAUUUAUGUGAAUGCGAAACAAUACAGUGCUAUCCUCAAAAGGCGAUAGGUCCGUGCCAAGCGUCAGGCUCAAAAUAAGCUUGUCAAAAAUAGAAAGCCAUAUCUUCACGAGUCUCGACAUCUUCAUGCAAUGAAGAGAGCCUGGGGUUCUGGAGGGUGAUUUUUGAACACAAAAAAUAUGCAGCAAUCCAAGCCUUCAUCUCUAAAGCACGAUAGAAAUAUCUUUAAUCGUCAGGCAGGUGGUUUGGAAAUCGAACAAUUCCUUCUGUCGUGUAUCCUCGAUUAAUGCAACCUCAGAUACUAUGCUUCAAUUCUCGAUUCUAGUAUUAAGCGAAAGGUUACGCCUAGACGUUCUGUAUUAUGGGUCAAUCCUACUCUACUAUGUCCUGCCUGCACGUUAGCAAGUGCCUCAGGCCCUGCUUCUCUUUUCCAAUAAUCUCAGCCGAGUACUUCGUUCCUCUCCUUUUAGGCGAGCGCGAAGGAAGAAUGCUCUUCAUCUCCCCUUGCCGUAAUUAUCUCUAGAAGUCGCCCCUACAACCCCUUGACUCCUGCAUGAAAGGGAUCGAACGCUCUAUUAGUGGUCGACUGCCACCUUUAUGCUUUGGAUUCUCUGUUCCCCCGAAAGAAAUAUCGAUCGUCCUUACCAUUUCAGUCCUCACCCGGCUCUCGGCUGAGUAGUAGAAGCAACUUUGAAUUUAUUAUAAGCCCAAACGAUGGAUUCAAUAAGUUCUUGCCAAUAACCACGUCCGCUGAAUAGAAACAUUAAACUAAAAGCCCAAACAAAAUGAUCACCUAGGAAAAAAAGGCCAAGACUCAGUCUUUCGUUUCAGAUCAAUUCUUCACUGUAAUCGCUUCGAUCCACCCCCUUGGUGAAAAACUGGUAGCGAGAUCUUUCGUCGGUCGAAAUAAUGUGGAUUUGCUCCACACGUAUAGAAGUCCAAGGAAGAGAUGUCACAUAUAGAAAGAAGUUUAUCUUUAAGUUUACAGCUGGUUGGUCCAGCCUAUUCUUGAAAUAAAUAACUCGUACACACUACCUUUCCAAAAAAAAUCAAUACACCAAGCACUACACUUAGAUUUAUUGGAUUUGUUGCUAAACUAUCGAUAUUAAACUCGAAACUCCCGACAGAUGGCCAGUGGCCCAAAGAAACGAAAGAAUCGAUUACGUUUUUCAUAUGAUCUCCUUUUAUAGAUAGACAAAAAAAUUAAACAGAGUUCUUUUUGUAGCACUUCGCCCCUCUUUUUAUUUAUUCUUUUAUUUUUUCUAAAAUUGAGUAAAAAAAUCAAAAAUAUUCGAGUUAGUUAUAAAGGUGAAAAGGUUACCUACCCUAUGAUCCUCCUUAUCUUACAGAGGUUUACUACGAGCCAUACCCAGCGGGAUACCCCUAUCUUUCGCCCUAUCUCCCUUACGCUCCUUCCCUUGCCAAUGGAUCAGAAUCUUUUCCAACAACGUCCAGGACUCUAUCGUUAAAGAGCUUUUUUUCUUUUCUUAUGAAUAUUGCUUUUGGAAGCUCUCACUUCUUAUAACUUAUAAUAAUCUCUGACAUGAGACUUAUGAACUCAUUGGUUUUCUGCAGUUGAGUUGAGAAAGGCAAUAAAGUGGACAGGGACGUGUCCUAUUGAGAAAUGAAAGAAGAUGAGCUCAAACCCUGAACGAACGAUCUAAGUAAGGAGGUAGCUCCAGGAAGGUAGUUCUUUAACCCAGUUCAGUGAGACCGGGGCUUAGAUCUUUGAAGCAGAUGUUUAAGAAAGUUUCAAAAUGCUUACUCGAAAGAGUAAGGAAGAAGAGCUGCUUUUAUUUAAGCGGAAUCAGAGCUCUUGGGUAAGAAGGCAGGAAGAAGUUCACACCAGGAUUGAAGAAGCUGGUUUGAUAGAACCAGGGUCAGCGAAAGACGAUGGAAAAGGUUGCUUGUAAGCGUGAUCCUCUAUCCUCUCUCUUUCUAUCAUCAGAGAAUCAAUCUUGUAGCCUAGCUAUGUAGCAGGCUCAGAGCGUUUUGAUGGAGGAAGAACCGUGGAUAUGGAAUCUGCUGCUCUGGCCGUUGUUCUGUUACCCGGUCUUGGUGGUGUACUUAUAGGAGGUGUCGUACGGGGACGCUGUCUGAUCCUGCCGACAGGAGCAAAGGAAGGCCUCUUUUGCGGAAAUUCUAUAUAAUUAUAAAUGUAGAAAGGUGAGGGUGAGGUAUUUUCCCCAGCAUACGGAAAGAAAAUCCAAGAUGACGGCUUUCAAAAGACGAGUAAGGGACACGGAGAGGGCGACUGAAAAGAAGGCUCGACCUACAGGAAGAGGGAGGCUCUCAAAACCAAAUGAGACUAGAAAGAACAUGGGAAUGAGCACCAUUCAUAUGAGUGCUUUUGUUUUGUCUCUUCGAGACAACAAAACAAAAGGACAGCCCUCUCUAUAUCUCGGUCUCGGUUUAGCAUCAUAUAUCGCUCUGGAGAGCAUUUUUUUUAGUUGUAGUAUGGAUGAUAGAGUAGCUCCUCUAUGCUGUGGGUGUGGAGGGGGGCUGUCGUCGCCUGAUAGAGGCAGAAGCGGGGGCCACCAUAGCUAUCUGCGUCGAGUAUUUUGAUUGAAAGAGGAAGGGAGACAACUCAAAUGCCAGCAUAGAAAUAGAAAGAGUCGUGCUUCAAAGUAGAAUUCCUCUAAGAUCCAUUAAUUGAUUUUGCUGCAUACUCUACUCCCAAAAUGGACUUCAGCAAUGGUAGCUACUUCUUCUUCAGUCUGAGAAUCCGCCUCAUUGUCGCUUAUGGCCUGGGCGGCUUGGUUUGGCCGAGCCUGUGGGCGUGGUGUUUUGUCCGUAGUUGGAUCAUUCUAAUUGCUGUUUCAGUUCACUUCAUCAUUUGAGGAGUGGUGGCACUUUACGAUUAUAGUCAGCUAUUAGUGCGAAAAUUUCUCCUUCUUUCUUUUCUAUUAGUUGAUCGCUUUCUUACUUUCCUAGUAGCGAAGGAAAGGAGCUGAAAGCCACUGUAAGGAAAGGGCAGGGAUUUUUUCGUAGUAAUAGUGGGCCGGUCUCAUGAGAUCUAUGCCGGCCAUCGGAAUCAAAUGAAGGUCGAAGGACCAUUCAAUUCAUUAAGGGGCAUAGCGGCGCCCUCGCCCGGCGCCAUUUCCGGACCUAGCAGCAGACGGGCGGGUCAUGCCUGAAUUCAGACCAGACCAGACUCUUCUUUGUUUGAGCUGCUCCCAGGCACACAGACCGAAGAUCUCACUUGUCCUGGACAAGUACGUAGAGAUCUUUGUGGGACCGUGGAGGGAGUCUCAAUCGAUCUUUUCUAGGAUUCCUUAUCACGCCACACAUGAAGAUCUUUCGCCAAAAAAAUCACAAUAGAAAAAGUUCUUCUUGCCAGGUCUCCUCUUCCUUCAUUUCGGUUGCUUGUUAGCUUACCGGCUGAACCAUCAUCAUCUGCUUACUUGGUCACUUUCGUGAUAAGGCGCUUAAAAGGAUUCUUGAUCAUAUAUAUUUUGGGAACUAAAAGAGUGGCUGGUUGAAGGGAAAGGGAAGCCAGAAAAUCCAGAUAUCUUAAACAAGUUUGCUUACCCAUCGUUAUCUGGCGGGAAGUAAGCGCCAUCGAAAGAUAGAGUGUCAAACAGUCAAACUUUGAUACCUAAAUUCAUUCAUCCAAAGACUUUUCCAUUCCUUGAUCCGUGGAAGAGCAUGAUACACUUACCAGUUCCUAGAAUUGGCAUUACUCUAACAGAGAAAUGCCCAAGAAAGAUUGUUAUAAGAGAGAGAGCACUUUUAAAGAACAAAUUGUUCAUAAUGUAAUUGUUUCUAUGGAGAAUGCCGCUGAUAAAACCAAGUCCUAACUACAUACGUAUCCAGAAAUAUAAACAAAGUAGCUACUGUCAGUGCCAUUACUAAUGAGAUCCAAAUAGAUUUUGUUUAGCCCGAGAAAUUGUUCUUUGAGCUCUUCGUCCAUAAUAAAGGAAUGCUCAACCAAAUCUUUGAAACGGAGUCCUUUCAGUAAUUGCAGAGUUCCAUUCGUAUCUCUAUACUCUUUCCAAAGAAUCUCUAGUCUCGAUUUGGUUUUUUGUUUCAGUGAGAUUGUCAUGGCGCAAAAGCAGAUAUCAUCCGAUAUUCCCUUAUUCCCUGUAUUGGUUAUGUUCUUUAUAUCUCGUCUAGUAAAAACUAAUCGAGCUCCGUUUGAUCUCCUAGAAGCGGAAGCUGAAUCAGUUGUAGGCUAUAAUGUAGAAUAUGUGUGGGAUGCAAUCCUUAAUAGUUCACUGUUGGCAGAAGCCAAUGUCCCGGGGUCUUGGGGACUCAUUCUGACUGAAACAAGGGGCAAUUGCAGAAUUUGCACCCCGCAAAUUUCUAUGUGUUCGAGUAUGUAAAUAAAUUGCAAAUACAAUCCAAGUAAUAAAUGCCUAAGUUUCUUUUGGGUCCCAAUUCCAAUACGACCCCCACGCUUCAUUAUCCCAUACCGCUCCCGAAAGGAUUCCUAUGGUUUAAAAAGUAACUCCUAAACUAAUAACCCGAUAACUCCAAUAAUCCAAUUGUUGUGACCGACGGUUGCUUGCAAGAGGUGGCGAUCGACAGUGUUCCAAAGCGCCAUAACGACGUGCGUUAGAGCGUUAUGGUUGCCAAUCAAGAUAUCUUUCUUCUCAUGGAGAGUGUGAUGGCUUUCACUUUCGGAACGUCGACUUGCACUUGCAAUAUAGAAUUUGACUUUCUGGAAUCCUUGCUCCUGGCUUAUAUUCACAUAGGCCACUCAUAAUAAUAAGAUGUUUAACUUCCUAAAACACGUGUAAUUGAGAGAGUCAUCAUAUCAGUGCCUUGGGGAAAUACCUACCUUUAGGAGAAAAUUACCGAAUGAGUUUCAAACCUGUCCUCUUCGCUUCCCAAGAUAUUUAGGGAAAGGGGCAUUCAGCCACUUGACUCGUUGGAAAGGGGCCUUGUCGGCCACCGCUUGCUGACGACGGAAUGCAUCGUCAAUUAAAGGGUCCCCGCCUUGGACUUAGUUGGAAAGGUAGGUAUUCGGCAUGUCCCUUGCUUGCGAACUUCUUUAGUAGGGUAGAGGUACUAUUCCUCACGUUUACCCUUGUCCCCAGACUUUACUCUUUCAACACUUGUAUACUUUCUAAAGAGUCAGGCAUGCCCCUGUCCCUGUCUCCAAGUGUGUGAUCCACUGAUUCACUGAGUGACUUUUUCUUACCGCUGUGCUGGAGUCCCUAUCUCUUAAAGGGUUGGUAUGGAAGACUUCCCCCUUGUUUGCCGAUUGAAGAAAGCCUUAUAUGGCUUCAAACAAGCGAGAAAGGCCCAUUCUAUCGUUAUAAGUCAAGCGCGCUAGCUACAAUCAUUGAUAGAUAGGUAGGAAUGACGAUAUGUGUUCCCACCAGGGAUGAAAUAUUCUCAAUGCACGAUUUAGCGAAGGCUGAUUGCAGUGGGUUUGGCUUGAACAUAGGCUCAAACAGAAUGUGAAGGGUCCUAGCUACGCCAUGCGUUCAAUACAAAAUCUGGAAAGCUGUAGGGAUGACAAAAAGAGGGCAUUUUCCUGUCUUCAGCUUCCUGCAUGGUAGCACCCAUGUGAAAAGGGAAGCCAGAGACUCUGAACUCUGGCUGCUGGAACAUGUCACAUCCCUAUCAGGCGAAAGUGCCACCAAUACUCUUCCUCAGCCGCAAGUGCGUCAUGAUCAUCCAACCGCUUUUUAUGUGCGCGUACCCAAUAAAAGGGCUAGUUCAUUAGUUCAUAAUUUAUAACUAACUCGAAUAUUUUUGAUUUUUUUACUCAAUUUCAGAAAAAAUAAAAGAAUAAAUAAAAAGAGGGGCAAAGUGCUACAAAAAGAACUCUGUUCAAUUUUUUAGUCUAUCUAUAAGAGGAGAUCAUAAGAAAAACGUAACCGAUGUGUUAUAGCUCAUAGCUCUAAGCCCCAAUUCCUUGGUGAUUACCUGAGGUGAGGUUGCCCUUCUUUCUGCCUUAGAAGAGGUAUAGUUUAGGCCAGUGCUCUACUCUAUUUUUCGAAUAAAUUUCUUUAAGGAAAUAUCUAUGAACUUAGCUCGGACUAAAUCCGCAUCCGCCUCUGUAGCUCUUCUAUAAGAGCGGACCUUUUUCUAGUCCUAUUCUUUUCUCUUAAGUUCCUUUUGGAACACUUCAUGUUGGGACGUCUGCACCUCUUUUUAUUUUGAGACAACCACAGGUUCCACUAAUCCUGCUCUAUCCAGUUUGAGGUCGUCUAAACCUGAUACCCUACUCCAGAUUCCACUCUGCUCCUACAUCAAAUUCAGCCUCCUCCGUAGCUCACGUUCAUAGAGGGAGACUUCCCAAACGAAGACUCCAGGUUACUGAAACGAACACAAGACUUUAGAAAGCCACCCAAUGUAGGAAGAAUUACCUCUCAUCUGUUCUAGCUACUCCACACUUGCCUUAAAAGCGCCUACUUUUCUUUCUUCAUAAAGAUGUAUAAAGUUUGAUUAAAUUGCGAUAGCUGAGAUAAAAGCUAUAUUAUUAUGCGUGGAGCCUUUUAGAAAAUCCCUUGCUUUUUUAUAUUGUCGGAGACUGAAAAGGAGGCUCAACCUACAGGGAGAGUAGUAGGCAGGGAUUCUCUACAAUGACAGGGGAGCUAGUACAAGAAAACUAUCUUAGAGCCUCUUCACUUCCUAAGUCCCCGAGACCUACCAAAUCCUCCUAUGAAAUUCCUAGUCCCCUUCUUCAUCCUUCUUUUUAACCCGUCUACUGAUCUGACUUUUAUUAGUUUGGUUCACUUCAUAAAUGACAUCCUGUCAGUUAGCAUUCAAAUGCUACUAUAUGCUUAACACAUUGACUUCUAUUUAAGUAAUGAUGUGCUCUAAGGGAGUCUUCCCAUCCCGAAUCUACUUAUCGAUACUCGUCAAAUCCAGUUCUUUCAGUAGGAGAGCGACUACUGCAGUCAUAUCCUGUCUUUUCUUCUAUCUCCUCAUCAUUCAGUCAGUGAUCUAGUUGCAUUCUAUCUUGAAGCGAAUGCAGCAUAAGGUCGCUUGCGCCUUUCUUCCUUCGUUCUCCUCGCUCCGAACCUUAUUCAAAGCAGAAAGACGAUGAUCUCAUACUAACCCUACUGGCCCUUCUUGUUCAUAUGUCAAGGGCUGGUAAGGUUUUGCGCAUUGUAUCGAAUUAAACCACACGCUCCACCGCUUGUGUAGGCCCCCGUCAAUUCCUUUGAGUUUCGAUCUUGCGACCGUACUCCCCAGGUGGAGUGUUUCACGCGUUAGCUGGGCCCCUGAUUCGCGUAAACCCGGGAUGGACAAAGUCAGCUUGAUCUAAUGCUUGCUAUCAUCUUGCAAAGAAUGUUUUUAGUCCUUUUCCCUAUCUGUCUACUGAAAAUGGCUUAGAAAUAGGUCCCCCUUUGCAGUAAUUUGUAAGGAACCUCGGGUCUCGCAGGGGAGAGAGCGUGCUUAGCUUUUUGCUAAUGAAUGAAUUCCUCUCAAAUGAGGAAAAGGCUUUUUCACGAGAAUGGAAUCUGGGAUACGAACUAAGAUAUCUCGUUCAAAAUGAUGCUAUUCAAUAGUGCCUUCCUUAGAAGGAAUUUCCACAGGGGCAUCGCGAGCAGCACACAGGGCGAAUCCACUUCUGACCUUCUGAUCUUUCCUGGGGAGAGCAGCAAAGCCAACAGAAAGUUUUUUUAUCAAUUCCCAACAACCAGAAUGAAAUAUUAUUUAAUCGUGGAAAUGCCAUGUCUGGCGCACCUAUCAGAAUCGGAACAGACCAAUUACCAGAUCCACCUAUCAUCACCGGCAUAACCAUAAAAAAGAUCAUUAAAAAAGCAUGAGCCGUUAUUAAAACAUUAUAAAGUUGAUGAUUCCCACCAAGAAUUUGAUCGCCGGGUCGUGAUAAUUCCAUACGAAUCAGUACUGAGAAGCAUGUGCCCAUCACUCCAGCAAUGGCACCGAAGAUGAAAUAAAGAGUCCCUAUAUCCUUGUGGUUAGUGGAGAACAGCCAUCGGACCGGAUUUGUCAUAAAAUUGAGAUUAUUUUGUUUCUUUCCUUAUCAGAAAGGGGCCCACGGGGUAUGCUUAUCUUCAAUUAGAAGAUGGUCACCCGCCCUAAGCAAGAUCGGUUCAGCCGGCCAAUUCACGAAUCUUCCGCAGAGUACCAGCGCCAGCCCUAUGAGCUAACUUUCCAUUUGACGGCAAAAGAAGGGGCCCUGUGAUAGUCACAUCUUUGACUAAUAUACACGGGCUUCUGAGAGGAUUUUUUAAUCAAGCCAAGAGAUAUCGAUUUAGCAGUCCAUACCAGGUAGAUUUAGGAGUGACUGGCAGUGAAUGCCCGGUAGCAAAGGUGCGAAGCAGACUCGGCUUAACUUCACUUAAGUUCGGUUUCCCCUGGAAAUGAUGGAACAAGAUUUUCUUCCUUUUAGUGACUAUGAGCUCAUAGAGAGCUGGAAUGAACUUGGUUAGCUGGGACUAAGAAGGGAUAGGAUUUGAUUAGCGCAUUUUCUGCCUGUCCUUUCCUUACUCUGUCGAUGGUAUGCCUGAGAUGGCAGUCUUUCUCCUUGGCUUGUACUCGAGAUCCGAAAGAAGUGGAUUUCGAACCAGUAUAUGCAAAGCAAAGGUCUCGCCGUCCCCGACCUUGGGGCCUAGUCGCUAGCUUGAUGGACGCUAUCAUUUCAUAGGAAUUCUUCAGUCUAUGGCUUACCGGUCGGGUGAAGCUUGCACGAGACUCUAAUCACUCUAAUAGUAUCUAUAAUAGAUACUAAUAGUAGAAGUCAUCAGGACGGUAGCACUUCAGCGACUGCUGUAGCAGCUUUAGAUACGCACCUGCUUCAGUUUCAUUCGGCAAAAAAAUGAUUCCAUCAAAGUGGGGAGGAGAGGAUGAAUGAGCCCGAACAAAGCCCACUCUUCAUUCCGGUAAACCAACUCCAACCAAGCCCAACACUUAAGAUAGCACUACUUCAACAUUCAAUCGCACAGCAUUAAAGGUAGCGAGGCUAACGGAUUAUAACAGCAUCAGACCAUUGAAAACUUACUUAACUGAUCAGGAACUAGACAAACCGCAGGUCAGCUCAUAAAAUUCAAAACUUGAGAAGUAAGGGAAUAUCGAUGGCCUUUGUUGAACAGAGAGCGAACGGACGGCAAGUGACUUUGAUCUCAUGCUGGCCUUUACUUCGGCUACUACGAAUUUGCCAAUUAUGAGUUGGGUGCUUUAACCAUUCAGCCAUGGAUGCUUAACGGGGAUCCUCGUACAUGGUGAAUAACCAAACUCCAAUUGAAAUGAAAUCUUUAGGAUAAAUUAAUGCAAUUUAGGAGGAAUCAGCCAAGGAGAAAGACUGCCAUCUCAGGCAUACCAUCGACAGAGUAAGGAAAGGACAGGCAGAAAUCGCCCUAAUCAAAUUGUAUCCCUUCUUAGUCCCAGCUAACCAAGUUCAUUCCAGUGAAUCUGUUGCGACACGGAUGGGAAUGCAUGCUACAAAAGAUAGGGUCGAGUCUGAUACAUCAACCGUCUACUCAAUAUCCUUGUGUGAGUCCACAAUGACUACACGAGAUGAACCUUGGUUUGGUGAAUUGAAGUUGGAGCCCUGCUAGUAUGCCUCGAGAGACUGAGCUACUAUUUUCUUUUCCUUACCCAUAUAUCAUAGUUAGUACCCUCAAAGCCAUUGCCUUUCAAGUAGAGCGUCUUUUCAAUUCAGUCUUGUCCCGCCUGCUCGCUAGCAAGUGCCUCGGGCCCUGCCUCUCUUUUCCAACAAUCUCAGCCAAGUGCUUCGUUCCUCUCCUUUUAGGUGAGCUACUUCGUUCCAGCCUUCUUUUUCUAUUUUGAAACACUUUCAGCUUGAACUCUAUUCAUUUGAGCUCGCAACCCUAGGAGUUCGGUUCAGCGUCACAAACUUUUUUAUUUUCAUACCGUAGAGUUCUUAACAAUAUUAAUGUUAUGAAAGAGUACGAAAAAAAAAUAUUUUUUCCUUAUUUGAUCAGAUUAAAAAGAAACUUUGGGAUUGCUGAAUCACAGACAAAAAAAAAGAAAAAAGAAACAUAUAAAGCAAUGGAGCCAUCAUAGUAUUUUUUAACUCUUCCGAAAGGAAGGAUGGCAAUUUGAUUAUUUACCCAUCGGAGUCUGAUAGAUUUUAUUUUUCUCUUUCUUCAAUAGAAAGGAGGGGGGUCAAUUUUCUUUUAGAGCUGGACUCACUGGAAUAGUUCUGGCAAAUUCUGGGCUAGACAUUGCCCUACAUGAUACUUAUUAUGUGGUUGCACACCUACCGGUAAAGGUAGGUCGGGAAAUGUGCAAGGCAGAUAGAAGUACCGAAACAACCACAAUAUGCACCACUGCCAAUUGAAAAACAAAUUCUAGUCAUUUAUGCAGUUGUCAAUGGAUCCUGUGUCUACACGGGAGGGGUGCAGUUUAGAUAUAUGCCAAGGUCUCAGACAAAAAGGAAAUAAAAUUUUGAUCUGAAUCCAGGUUGUUGGCUUACCAGGCACUUGCCCGCUACUCCUGUCGCCCGUUGCUCCUGUCGCCCACUUGGCGGGCGAAGUGCUCGUUAUCCUGACUUUUUGGAAGACAGCUUGAUGAGAGCUGGGUAGGAAUCUAGCUCAACAAAGAGUUUUUCUCGUCGGACCCAUAUACCCAUGAAUGAUUUCAGACUUUAUCACACCUAUUUCGGAGGAUGGUCAACAGACUUGGGAAGUCACCUUCUUCUUUCUUAUGCUAUUACCAAAAGCUCUUUUCUUAGGAAGGAUUAUUCCAGUUUUCAGUCUUAUGACCUGUGCCCUUUCACCGGCAUUUUAUUCAACGAGACCGAAAAUACAGUAAUGAUUUGUUUUAUGGACAGUUAUAUUAUUUCCAGCCCGUUCCUUCAAUCAAAGAAGAAUCCAUGCCCAGGGCUAGUGCCAGCGCAUAGUCAGAGUCUUCCCUGCGUGCCUAACAUCCACUCCUUCUAGUCGAGUGCCUUACCGCUAUCCUUGGGAAACUAAAAGAUCUACCGAAGAAAAGGGAUACAGUCUCUCCCUUGGCCUUUGGAGAGGAGAGGGCAGAGAAGAAAACGACCUUUGCGCAAGUUUCUUUGCUUCCUGCAUCAUUACUAGUAUAAAAGGGGCUCUUCGACCGCAUCCAUUGCAACUCCCCAUGCUGGUAAGAAAAGGGUCAACCCAGUGGCGCAUCGACAUCUUGAUACGGCUGAGAAGCCCGAGGCUUGGAUAACAAAUCUGAAUUCCAGUAUGAGGUCAGCAGUUGAUCUCUACGGUAAGCGAGACAUAGACAAGAAGCUCAUGCACAGAUUGACUACAGAAUGAGCAUUUCAAAACUCAUGUUUAACCAAGAGGGGAAACUAGUUGAGAACAAUAAAAAAACCGGUGCCCCUAUUAAGAGGACAUUAAAUCAAUGGUUAGCUAGGUCGUUAUAAUCGUAACGGAGAUUCAACCUACCCGCUUACUCCGGUAGGGCCGUCUUCCAGGGUUUGUCCUAUAGCUACUGAGGAUCCGAUCUGUAGCGCGCCACCCAAUUAAGGCUACCAGCAUCGGUCUACCCUUUCCCCUCAUUAUCCAUUCAUCAUGGCUACAGCCAGACUGAUUGUUCUUGAACAUAAGGCAAUUCAUUUCAAAUAGAUCAAGGUCGAAAUCAGAAAGGAGAUCUGGUGAAAACUGCAAGGCACUUGCAUUCCUUUAUUGAUGUGAUGGUUUCUUGUUUAUCGGGAAUAAGGUGCGGCAGAACCCAUAAUGACCUGCCACUAUAGGAAGUUCCCAAUCCCUAGGGUCGAUUGUCCGUCUAGUGAGUGAGUGCUGAGACUGUCUCUCCCACCAGUCAAGUCAGGGGGUCAUGGUCAAAAUCAAUGAGAUCUAUAAAGUGAGACUCGCUACUAAAUAAAGAAGGUACGAUCAAAGGUUUUUUGACUCCUUUGCUUCAACUCAUCGAGUAAAAUCUUCUCUUUCUAUUCUAUUUGCUCUUGACAUAGUGGCUACCACCAAUUUAUAUCAGACUCAGGACCAAUAGAAGAGACGAAUGCGCCCCGUGAUGUGAUUCAGAUAAACUUCUGAUCUUAGUCCAAGAUUAUUUUCACUAACUGAGUCUAGAAACUCAGCACUUAAACUGAUGUCUCCAUCCCCGUAUCGGAGACCUUCUUUCGUCUACCCUUUCCUGGGACUCCCUCUCAGGCCGAUCUGGUUCGCUUAUUGUGCUUCUCUCAAUAGUUUAAUCAAACAAUCUUAAAAGGGUGGGUCAGAAUUUCAGUCUACCAGCUUAUACCUACCGACCGAGUUUUUGUUUAGGGAGCUCCGACUUAUCCUUUUCGUUUUAGUGCGGGUUUAAGCUCAUCUUCUUUCAUUUCUCAAUAGGACAGGACUAAAAACAUUCUUCGCAAGAUGAGAGCUUGCAUUAGAUGAAGCCGACUUUGACCAUCUCGCAUAUCAACUUCCUCUAUCAAUAGCAUAAAGCCGCCCAACACAGAGAACGAACAUGGUCGAUAGGUAAUUAAUCUUCGUUUGGAUAGCAGUACGGUACACGAAUCAAGAUAUAAUCUUUGCUUUUCCAUCCCUGGAAUUCAAAAGAAAAAGGGGAAAGGGAGAGUUAAAAGCACCCUGUAGAUAAAGAUCGAGAGCCUGUAGACUGGGGUUGAACCAUAUCCCCCUUCUGUUAAUCGAGAGUGUGACGAAGUGAACCGCAAAUAUUGUGCGGUAAGAUGAUGCUGUGAGGCAGAGAUAGCUGCACUUCUUGUUCUUUUUUCCCUUCAAUUCUUUAAUGCUUCUUUCAGGUCUCGCUACCCCUGACCAUAAGAAAAAUAUUAUACUAUAAGAGCGAGGUGCAAGUGCUGCAUAAAGUUCUGUUAUCCGUUGUUCAAGCCUUUCUUUGAGCAGAGCGCUUUCUUUCUGGUCAUUGGCAAGCGCAAAUGGGCUUUCACACUCGCUUAUGUUAUGGGUGGGAUGAAGACAUCUAUCUUAUUAUAUGGAAGAAGAUCGUUAGAUAGUUAGCAGCUAGAACAAAAUAAGGGGCGUUGUAUGGAGGUUUCCAAGCAGAGGUGCGAAGCAAUUUGAAAAAAAAAAAAGAAACAACUUUACUGACAAUUACAUAUUUUUUAUUUUGUCAGAAGAGUCCUCCGAAUAUUUUGAAAUAGCAAAGAAUCAUUCGGCACGUAGUGAACUGCCAGAUAGAUCAGUACAGCUAUUGAAUAGAUAGAAGAUCUAGCGCCUCGGUCAAAGAGAAUGGGGCUGUCAAUAAUGCAGUCAUUUUGCAUACAUAAUCGGCUUUUGAACCAUUCAAUUCACGGGUCCCCUAAACCUAUGGAUGGUUUCAUAGCGUCUUUCAGGAGGCUCAGCUUGAAUCGAAAUGCUUCGCUGGAGUGAACGAAGGAUGUUUCAAGUCCUUUGAUUGUGCGUUUAUGCUUUAUUUAAGCAGCUUUGAAUGCGCUUUCUAAUCUUCUUCUGUAAAGAAAGGAUAACAGAGAGGCUCAGGCUAGAUCGGGAGGAGCUAAUUCAAACCCCUCCGGUAAAAUAAGAACAAACCCGCCUUCUUAUUUUUCUUUAUUUAUUUCAUUUUCUUGGAAAUAGAUUUAGAAGUCAAAAAGGAAUAAUUCUAACUCACUCAUAACAACAAGAAGCCUGGGCCUGAAGGCACCAAGUCCCAUAGAAGAUCUUCUUAUUCCCGCCUCUGCCAACUACCGGGGAUGAAAUGCCAGCAACAAGGAAAGCUACUAAUUAGGCUUAGGCCUGAAGGUCUCAUUCCAGUUUGAUUUCCAUGCCUACAGGAAAGAAGAUCAAGAAUGCCAAAAAAUCCAAUCCCGCAAAGGAUUGUUUAUGGAACUACUAUCGAGAUUCUUCGAACCAUAUUUCCUAGUAUCAUCCCUAUGUUCAUUGCUAUACCAUCAUUUGCUCUGUUAUACUCAAUGGACGAGGUAGUAGUAGAUCCAGCCAUUACUAUAAAAGCUAUUGGACAUCAAUGGUAUCGGAGUGCGCCUCUUCACGAGGGUGAUUAAAGUGCAACGAAAUGCCUUAAAGUUGAAUAUGGUUCGCGAAACCUCAAUGAAUUCUGGCAUCACGGGCUGAUCCAUAGCCCGUAUGAAUAGGAAAGUCUAUAUUAACUAUCCAUAGGCUAUCCUAAGAACGAUCUCUAUAAUAAGGAAAAUAAGGAGUACCCUCACUCACAGAGGAUUCGAUAAGAGUCUAUUGAUUCUAGUGCACUAUCCUUAACACAGGUAAAUCGGUCUUUCUUUUUAUCAUAUGGUAUUCAUGUGGAAGAACUAGGCUAGAAAAGAAUCCCUCUUUCAUUCAUCAAUUUCAUUGCCUCUUCCCUGUCCUAGGUGUGGACGAAGACCGAGACUUCUCUAAGAUCCGAUUCGAGAACCCCCUCAUCUCGUGGCUAGGAACAUCUAUGUAGAUAGGAUUGGAUUCAUAGUGCCAGUUAGGGGUAGGUAUAAACCUUCAUUCAUCUUCUUCGAUCUUCCUUGGAAUAUCCAUCAUCUUGGUCUCGACCUUGUUGAGCUCUCCCUGAUCGAAAGUUCCUAUUUUACUGCCUCUUCGAUCGUCUCCAACUCCCUAAAAAAAAGAUUGGUGACCUAGAUAGUCAGGUUCUUUCCUUACCUUAGCUAAGCCUUAUGUCCCUUCAACAUUCCUAUUCAUCUUGCCUUGUCUAGCUCUACCAUAUCUUUUGUUUCAUUUCUUCUGGAACAAUCACAAACACUUUUUUGAUUAUGGAUCUACUACCAUAAAUUCAAUGCGUAAUCUCAGCAAGUACGGAACGAGCCUUGUCUACAAAGCAGAGCGACCUCAUCUUGCUUGCAAGUGGAUUAAAUCCAGUAGUUAGGGAAGCCAGUACGCAUACAGGAAGUGGUAAAGCUGCAGUAGAGUUGGCAUUUGAUUGCCCUAUUGUUUACUUGAAAUUCCUAUCUAUUCUUGAUCCAUCAAAAAAAAAUCGUUUGUAUCUUCGGGAUAGGAGUUGGCAGUCUUCUUUAAGAGAACUUCAAUCUAAUACUCAUUAUGGAUCAACUCAUAUUUCCACUCUAUUUUCAUUACGAGGAUGUAUCACAUCAGGAUCCGUUGCUCAAACCGAAUCACGGCAACGUUAUGGAAGUUCCUGGAUCGUCGACAUAAAGGAAGGUCUCAUUCCAGUUUGAUUUCCAUGCCUGCAGGAAAGAAGAUCGAGAAUGCCGAACUAGUGAAUACAGAAAGCAAUUGAAGGCGUUCUAGUUUGUUCAAUGUAGUUUGAAGACCUACAACAAGAGGACCCCUAUAAAGCCCCUAGUUGCCAAAGAUCAGGAAGCUCUUUGUUAUGAAGAAGCCACAAAUAAAUCAGAGGAAAAUUAGGGUCUAAAUCAUAUAGGGGUUGGCUACGGGCGGCACCGUAUAGCUAUAACAUUCUGCGUGUGUAGCACCUAGCUGUCUCUCAACCAUUUUUGACACCCAUCUGAUCAGUAAUCAUCGAAAACCUACAGGAUGAGAACGGCUUAGUUUCAUUUGAAACAUGGGAUUUCACACUGAUAAUAUCAAUGUAGCCUUUACCCUGUCAUUACCAGUCACACAUCAGAGUAGGCAAAUAGUGAAAAAAAUGAUUCAUGAACUUAGAAUCCCGAUCAGAAGUGAUAGUUUGUUCCAGGAAUGCAAUGGAGCCUAACAAUCUCUCGAAAGUAGAGGUCACCAAGUUCGAAGAGCUACACACUCCCGAAAGCGAGGAAGCCGACCAAUUCCUUCAAAGGGAGGGAAUGAAAGUUGGCGACCCAGAAGAAAAAAAAAGAGUGGAAUAUAUUUAUACCUGUGGUAUGAACCCCUUACGGGCCGCCAAGGCCCUACAGAAUCCCCAUUCUAAAACCGCUAAUCAUAAUCUUGUUAUGACUGUCCCUCUUACGGGGAACUCUUUUCAGGCAGCACUAAUCAAAUAAUAGGGAGGAGAAAGAGGAAAUAGCAAAGAAUCAAAACCUUCCCCAAUAAAUAUAGGAUUCGUCGAAUGUGAAUUAGUGAGCAAAGUUGAUCAAAAAGUAUGGUGUACUUUUUCUCACUUGGAAGGGUAAGGAUCGGUUGGAUACCUUGGAGGCACCAUAGAUUGCACCAUUGGCAAUGGCGCUUUUGAGUGCCCCUAACCUUGAGGGGGCCAUAGAUCGAGUUCUGGGCUAAGGUUACCAGUUUCGCAGCCCUUCGAAACUCCCUUCUGGAAAAGGUUCAGUAGAUCUACUAGGUUACUAGAAAUGACCAAAGAACAAAAAAAACUGCACCUAGUGAUGAGCUUGACUGGUACUCUAACAAGAACGCGGUCCAAUCUAGCAAAGCUGGCUCAACGUAUGCUCUAGCUCCGAUACGGAGGGCUUAUGAGUCACAGAAUUUGAAGCCAAAAAAACAAGGUAAGAAAGGUGGAGCGGCCUCACACAAAAAGAUUUGUCUAAGCAAUCUUAAAGAGAUUUUCAAUAAGUCAAUACCAAGAUUUACUUUCUGCGCCUACUAAUGUGAUGAUAAUUCAGAAGCUUUUUUGCAAAGAAGAAGGGCCCUGUUCCUAUGGGUUCACGUGCUAAGGCUCCACACUCAAACCUCAAGGAAGGCAGGAGAUUGCGGAGUAAUGGAAGACAGAAGGAUUUUCACUUGAUUAGAUGGGAUUGCUUCCUUUAGCACUCCAACAGACUCAAGGAUGAAAAAAAAAGGUUCCACACGACCAAGGAAGCAUCGAUUUUUAAUCUCAUUAUGACUUGGUCGUUCGGAAGAGAAAUUAAUUCGAUCAGAAGAGUGGAAUGGAAGGCUGUAAAAGAAUGAAAUACUCCUUUCUUUUCCAAUCGCCCCAUGAAGACAGACGCUCGGAAAGGUUCUCAAGAUUCUCAAUCGCUCUUUUUAGUGGGGAGAAAUAGUGUAGGGGCUUUGUUUAGCCGCCUAUGUAGUAAGAAAAACUCUGAGUUUGACGUUGAAUAGCCAUAGUGAGUUCAUCACCAGUGGCAUAAGCAGAAGAGGCAUAUGGGGUGGGGAGAAAGGCAAUUUACCUUUCUCUCUAGGAACCUUUUGAAGGCAGGGAGUGUGACAAUGUACACGCUUCCCUUUACUCCAUAGGUCCUUCUCAUCAGUUGCAGGGUUUGGUGGCCCGAAAUUGACUUGGCUUCGCCAAAAAGCCUCAUCUCUAAAAACCCGACUCGCGAGGCGUCCCUCUCGCAGUAGGGUUCCAACCUCGCCUCGCUCUUGUGACAUGCUAUGUUUCCCUUCUCUAUUCCCAAGUAAAGGGUGAGUCCCAUGCAUCAGUUUGUGGAUCGCGAUCUCACACACUAAUCCCUACAGGUGCUCAUAGUAGGCCGGCCGCCCUACCUAAACUAAUCGUCAUAUUGGUCCCUAGGCCCCAUUGCUGGAAAGGAGAAUCAUAGAACGAAUGAAAGAUGGAGACAAGGGGCGAAGGAUAUUGAUGAUAUUCGGAAAGAUUUCUGUUCAUUUGCUCUGCUCGCAGAGCUGUAUACCAAAAAAAAAAGAGACUUGUCAGAAAUCGCCGGUUGGUUUUGUUUAUCCAACCAAGAAAGGCAUGGGGCUUUUGGGCAUGGUAACUAAACACUUAGUUAGCGUUAGAUUUUCUUUUGAUUUCACCAACUCAGGUCUUUUAUUAACAUACGAUAAUAUUUUGCCAACUCACAGGUGUAAGCGCUAUAGUACAGUGUUGACUAGUGUGCUUUGGUGUAACCGGGGAGCUGGAACCAAAGAAAGACUAUACUCGGCGUCCCUUCCUCUUAUCAGGCAGCUAUCUCGAGCUCAUUGAACACUAAAUUUCUUCUUUUUUUUAUAAUCGUCAAAAUUCUCUCAAUUGUGCCCCCACUGCCAUUGGAGCACAAAGGAUGAAAUAUAAUCGAUUCCUCUAUUUAAGUGGUUGUCGCUUCUCCUUGUUCCUAUUACUAACUCCUCCCCGGGUAGUUCCCAAUGUUUGUCACUUUCCAUACUUCAUAGGUGCAACAUCAACAAAUUCGCUCAUGAUCAAGUUACAAGCCAAGAUCUAUGACCAUAUUAUAUUAACUGUUCGUAUUUCGUUCAUUCCAUCGGUAAGGAGGGGAAAGCCACUUGACUGGUUGGAAAGGAGCUCUGACGUUGGAAUUCAAUAGUGACAGAAAUGGUCAUCUUUGCUCUACAGCUACUGGUGUCAUCGCCCUGCAAAGAGGUGGAACCAACCACCUUCACUAUUUCGGAUAGUAUUUAUGGUUCUACCUUUUUCUUAGCAAUUGCCUUUCAUGGUUUUCAUAUGAUUAUAGGUACUAUUUUCUCGAUCAUAUGUGGUAUUCGUCAAUAUCUUGGUCUUCUGACCAAGGAGCAUCACAUUGGCUUUGAAGCAGCUGCAUGGUACUGGGGAUCUUCCUUUCAAAUUUAAGCGUCUAUUCCGCUUUAUCCUUUCAAUAAUUAUAUUGAAUAAAGACAAAUUGAUCCACGGGUAUUUUGAUGCUCGAUCUCGGCAUAGCUUUAUUGAAUCCUAUGGGAAUACGAUAUCCUCCCUCACUAGUAUAGUACAGGUACUCUAUUUGAAUUUGAUUAAUAGGCCCUAUCCCUAGUUCAAGGACUUGGCAAGAUUCCCGACAGACAAAUGGUGGAAGAUUUCAACAACGAUUCUUCCCUUAGCCGAUUAUUACUCUAUCCUUCUCAUUGUCUUAUCGUAAACUCCUAUCUCUCCUGCUUUGAACCCACACUCAAAGGAGGACCACAGGCUCGGGGCUCGACGAAACAAAAAGUUUCAGCAUGUUGAAAAUGGAGUUAGCGUGAAAGAAGGAGCCCGGAAUUUAUUUCUGAAUGAAUAUUCAUAGCUGAGUCUACUAAAAGAGGGACCAGCUGGCCCCCACUAGUCCGGCUAGCUAGUGAGCGAUUCUUUUGGGCGGGAAGCAGGCCGAACCCUAUGGGCGGGCAUCUCCCACAACACAAGCACCAUUGUUCGACACCACCCGAGAAGCUCUUCCUUUUCAGUCCCCACCCUCAAGUGAGAAGGAUAUUCUGUUGCUAUCGACUCUAGUGAUAUUAUUCAUUCAUAUCCCUCAAUCAAGCAAGCGAAGGGGGCUAGGUUGUAAUACAAAAUCGUAACCAUUGAUUUCGGAGGACUUAAUGAUUAUUCGUUUGUCGGAACCAGAAGUUCCAAUUUUGGUAGAUAGGGAUCCCGUAAAAACUUCUUUCGAGGAAUGGGCCAGACCGGGUCAUUUCUCAAGAACGAGCUUUCUUUUAGAAGGCUUGGUUCUGGAAGAUGACCUGAUGGAGGAAGGCCCUCCUAAUAAUAUCCAUAAAUGACUUGUUUUUGGUAAUAGAUGAAAAUUACCGUAUGUAAAUUCGGGUGCAUGAUAGACAUCGGUACUCCAGUGUAUUUCUCCGUCUGAAUCGGAAUAAAUAUGUUUUCGAACCUUCUCUUUAAAAUUCAAAGUGGAUAUUCCUGUGCGAAUCUCAGCAAUUACUUGUUCUGAUUCUACAUAUUGAUCAUUUUGAACUAGUGAAGACGACGUCGAGUUAACGGUAGAGAAAGACUCGGCAUUUAGGAGCAGGAGCAGAAGCACUACGAAGAACAAGAAGUUCGUCAGUUUAAAGAUUCAUUUCUACCAGGUGACGGACUAAUAAGUUUAAGAAUCUGAGAAAAGGUUGUUUUUGAAAUGGCUAUGAGAGAGUACAUAGAGGAGUUUUUUGACCUCCUGUCUCUACGAUGUAGAGUGAAGAAGGGAGAUAAGAGGGCAAUAUUCGAGCUGACUUUUUCUAAGCACGAAUUGCAUUUGUGUUUGAUAGAAAGCAUAGGAAUUUGUCCAUUUUUUGGGGUCUCAAAGGGGCGUGGAAACGCAUAAGAACUCUUGAAUGGAAAAGAGAUGUAACUCCAGUUCGUUCCUUCGAAAUCGGUAGUUAAUCCUAUUUCCGAUAGGGGCAGUUGACAAUUGCAGGAUACAGAGAGAAAGAUAUUGAAUGAGUUUAAAGAGCAUUUAUCUAAGCUAAGCCCAGUUAAUCCUACUAUCUUCAGGAGCUAAGCCUGGCCUCUUAUAAGUCUCAAUUGAGGCAAAAAAAAGACGGAUUCUUAACCCGAUAGGGGAUCUUGCUACAUAGCUUCAUAUCUAAUCAGCUGAUAUACUGAUGCAGGAAAAUUCUUCUAAAGAAGACGUGUUGAGCUUUCUUUCCUUCAGGUUCAUAGGUUCGUAGGAGGAGCCUUAUGUCGUAGGCCCUUCUUGCUAAAAAGUGGAGUUUUGACUGACUCUCUAUGCGAAUUCGUAGGUUUAAUUCCUACUGGAUGCACGCGAAUGGGACCCUCCAAUAAGUCUGGCAGAAAAUGCCGAUUCCAACCCCCAAGAAGCCUUACUGUACUUUUUUAAUGAGAAACGCCAUGAACUUGACCAAGAGGGCGGAACCCGUUAGUAAAAUACCGGAGAGAACUCUGCUUUUCGAAUCAACUUUUACAUGAUCUUCGAAAAAAUGGAAUAAACUUCGUCUAUUUCAAUAUUCCAUUUGGGUAAAUAGAUACGAGAUCUCGUCGUCGAAGUGACGUGAGAAAUUUUUGUUAUAUGUGCCUGAAGCUGCUAUAUUUGCUUUUUUGGCUAUACUUAGACGGACGAGUGGAAUGGAUCGGAUGGGAGAGGAAUGGAAAGCUAGGAUCGCUUGGUAAGCAAGCAGGCACUAACUCCCAGUUUUUUCUCUUCUUUCUUUUUGAUUAGAGAUUUGAGAUUCCGUAAGUAACUCAGUGAGUGCUUUCUAAGAAGGUCUUGGAAGAAGAAAAUGAAAUAGGAACAACCGCGCUGGUCGGAAUUGAUCGACUUUCAUGCUAGUUCUUGCUCCAGCAUGAAAGAUCUAUUUCAGGGAAGGACGACGUACUAUGAUACUUUCCGUUUUGUCGAGCCCUGAUUUGGUCUCUGGUUUGAUGGUUGUACGUGCAAAAAAUCCGAUACAUUCCGUUUUGUUUCUCAUCCCAGUCUUUUGCAACACUUCAGGUUUACUUCUUUUGUUACGUUUUGACUUCUUCGCUAUGAUCUUCCCAGUAGUUUAUAUAGGAGCUAUAGCCAUUUUAUUCCUAUUCGUUGUUAUGAUGUUCCAUAUUCAAAUAGCAGAGAUUCACGAAGAAGUAUUGCGCUAUUUACCAGUGAGUGGCAUUAUUGGACUUAUCUUUUAGUGGGAGAUGUUCUUUAGUUUAGAUAAUGAAAGCAUUCCAUUACUACCAACCCAAAGAAAUACGAUGUCUCUUAGAUAUAUGGUUUAUGCCGGAAAGGUACGAAGUUGGACUAAUUUGGAAACAUUGGGCAAUUUACUUUAUACCUACUAUUUCGUCUGGUUUUUGGUUUCUAGUCUUAUUUUAUUAGUAGCCAUGAUUGGGGCUAUAGUACUGACUAUGCAUAGGACUACUAAGGUGAAAAGACAAGAUGUAUUUCGACGAAAUGCUCUGGAUUCUAGGAGGACUAUAAUGAGGAGGACGACAGACCCGCUCACGACAAUAAGGAGAAGCAGUGGUUCGAAUCCAUAUCGUGAGCUUAAGUAAGCCUUCUGACGCAUCUAUUUGUGUCAAGGGUCCUGGAUAUAUAACUGCUCAAGAUAUCAUCUUGCCUCCUUAUGUAGAAACCGUUGAUAAUACACAACAUAUAGCUAGUUUAACAGAACCUGACAUCGGUAGAAUCUACCUACAAUUCCUUGUAUGUUCGAUAGAGCCAAAGAUUCCCCCCACUGAUCGGAGUACGCCGAUUACCCCCCGAACCGUACAAGAUAGUUACCACCUAUCAUAUGGCUUUCUAACUUCACUUCUUUUUCUGGUCGUUCUGCUCUGUCGAUCGAUUUCAAUCUCAACAAAGAAAUAAAAGCAUAACUCUUUGCUCGCUUGAAGCUCCUCUUAGUCUUUUAUUUUAGCCUGCCUUGUGAAGAUCUCUCGGGUUUUAUUAAUGCUUUUGUGGAAAGUUGAACCCAACGAGCAAAAUAAAAUGGAGUGAGUAGUAUGAAGCUACGUCUUCCUAUUCAGAUAUUGGUCAUUUCCGCCAUCGGAAUAUGCUGUACCGUAAUGCAAGAGAUCCUAUUCUUUGGACCAGAUGAAAAGAAAGUGAACCGAAGUCGACUCGACGCAAGUACGAUAAAAAAGCAGUUCAGUAAUCCGGGAAAGUUUACAUCUAUUUUGUAUUUGUAGCAUUUUGGCGACAUGGCCGAGUGGUAAGGCAGAGCACUGCAAAUCCUUUUUUCCCCAGUUCAAAUCUGGGUAAAACCCGAGUGAUAUCACCCGCAGGUGGUAUGCCUGAGCCGCCACUGCUUUGUCCUUUUCACUUCUUAUUACUCCUUUCGUUCAUUUUUUCUAACAUUUCUAGUACCAACUAAUUCAUUUGGGCGAGAAAUCUUACAGCUUGAUUGCGAAGCAUGGUUUCGAAAGGUCAGCUGAAAGAUAGUAUAUAUCAACAUUCAAACCUAUUCCUUUGUGGCUGGCCUCAGUGCUUAACGUCAGGUUCCCUCCACAUACAUAUGAAAAGUAAGCCAACCGUAUUAGCUCAUCAACUCGCCAUGUAUAAAGACAUGUGCAAUAUAUUGAAUGGGCUUCAGAGACAAGGAUUUCAGAUAAAUUCGAAUAUAUUGGAGUUCAUUAAGAAUCAUCGUGCUACUUUAGAAAAAGUAGUUCUUCUUAUGCCAGGUAUACUGGCACACGUGAAUCUGAAAGAAUCCUACGAUCUUCUGAGGAAAUCUUAUUUCCUGAAUAAGGAUAUAAAGAACGUUUGUAGCCUUAGUGAUCUCUUUAAGGAAUUAGCAAAUAGGGUGCAGACAGCUAGGUAUGAAGAUUUCAUAAUCAGGCUAACGUCCGCAUACGAGGGUUAUGUCUUUUAUCUGCCUGCCUUUAUGGACUUUCGUGGAAGAAUCUACCGCUGUGGUAUCUUUCAUUUUCAUAAGCGUGAUUUAGCAAGAAGUUUCAUUCUAUUUUCCAACAAUACUCAAGAAGGAAUCAACCAGUCAGCUAAGGACAUAGUAGCCACAUCAGCUGCCUUUAAGUAUAAGAAAUUCGAUCUUUAUCGUAUGAUAAUUCAAACUUUUAGAACUCUUAGACAUAUGGAAGACCUAUACUAUUGAUUUCCCGAUACCGAGACUCUACUCUAGAAAUCCAUAGUCUCUAGAUAGCCCUAGCCAAGGUUCCAAUUCUGAUAGACUAGCCUUGCCUUCCCCACAGAGGAGAUAGACUGGUCUAUAAAAGCUUCUGGAAUUAGAAGAAGGAAUGUUGGAGCUAUUCCCUUAGUGACAUUAGCAUCUUUCUUUCGAACAUUCGGACAUUAUAGGCUCUCCUCCAACAAAGGACUGGGAAAGAAAAACUCACAUUCCCGAAUAAGCAGAAAGUCUAGGAAGAUAUCAACCAUGGAUGGAAGGUCUCCUGUAAGCCAGAAGGUCCUACUAAGUGGUCUAAGUCGAACCUCUUCCUUGAAUGGUUAAGGAAAGCUUUUCAUAUAAUGCCUUUGUUCGUACCUGCCCUUCUUCUCUUUGCCCCCAUCCACCAUCCCUUAGCCUUAAAAACAACCAAACCACCGGUCAAUCGACCGACAGUGAACCAAAUCCGCGUUUUCAAACAAUGAAUCUAAUUCAAACUCUCUCAGGAAGCUCGUGGUUCUGGAGCCGACUGCCCGAACCAUCCAUACAAACCAUCUCCCGGCUAGAAAUGAGACCUGGUGGAGCAGCUUAGCCAGCCAUCUCGUUCCCCUCUUCCCCGCAUCUAAACCAUCCUUUAUUUUAUCUCAAUCUCUCGCGAGGGUACGUUUUCCAUCACGACUGACUGACCUGACGGUAGGAAUUGAUUGAGAUNNNNNNNNNNNNNNNNNNNNGAGGGGAAAACCUAGAAAAGAAAAGACCCAGAAUCACGUCUAACAAUCUAUUGGGGGGAAAUCAAUAAUGAAGCAGCAGGCAGAGUCGUUUGAUGACACGAGGUUCCUAUAUACCAUCAUCUCGAAUCCAAAGGCAUAACAAUAGGUAGGCAUCUUCUCGAUGAUCUAUAAAAAUAUCUAAAGGUGAACCAAUAGACAGAGAGAGAUGCUCUUCCUGCGGCCCAAGAUGAUUCUUGAUAGCAGGAGAAAUAGAGUCUUUUUUUGGCGAGUGUAGGGGAGCCGAAGGAGAUUCCAACCCACAUUACUGACUAACGGUGGAUAAUCAUAUUUCUUAGAGGUACUAAAUACAACUCCAUGAAUGAGCAAAAUGAAGGUUGCAUUAAUGAUAAGGAUCUCUGGGGAAACCGUCGUUCCUGUUCCUUAUGGUGCUUUUUCAACCCUUUGCUUCGCAACCGUCAUCUUUUAGCUGAUUAAUGAGUGUCAAAGAUAGACGUGUCAUGCCGCAUGAAGAAAGCUAUCAAGCAUUGAAUGAAGGGAGGGAGGCUCGGGAAAGGUUGUCGGAGUAGUGAUCGGGAUGAGAUAGAUGCCUCCCAGCCGGGGGGCGGAUCAAAUUGGAGUUUUCUUAGGUAGACACCGACCUAUAGUUAUCCUUAAACCUCCAUGCCAUUUCGUCGUUGCUCAUUCCCGUUAGGCUAAAAUGUUUGGCCUUUCCUUCUCCGCGCCCGCUCAGGCUUCGCUGACCUAUCGCAUGGGGCACCUAAGGUUUGAGGGGAAUUAGAAAGGGACCUCUCACUCAAUUCAAUAACAUGUUCUAGGGCAUAUUUUUCUAAUAAUAAUGUUCGCAUUUGACCAGGCUUUUUGGACGUUCCAUGAUUAAACCAACUAGCACAGGAAAGAGAGAAAGAGGGGGAACUAGAUGAGCUUACUACUCCAACUGUAACUGGAUCGAAAAGAGAGUGGACUGAGCAUCUUUUUCCAAUUUCAAAGAUCUAAGUAAAUUAAACAGAUACUCGUUGGUCUGAAUUGUGCAGGAUCGAGCCCUAGCCUUGGAAGUCAUCCAUUCAAGCCUUCCCAGUCCUUUUUAUUAUUUCUUGAUCGGACUUUCUAUAUCCAUAUGAUAUGAUAUGGCUUUCAAGCUUUCUAGCCUAGGUUUGUGUGAAGCAUGAGAACAUGAGCAAGCACAGUCUUUCGCUACUCGUGUGACCCCGCCUCAUGGCUUUUAGAAGGGCCUAAAGUGCAUGAUGAUUCGAUUUCUGAAAUAUAGAAAUAUAAAGAAAAAGGCCUUCUCUUGCUGUUCUCUUUCUUUCUCUCUCCUAUUAAUUAUUAACAUAGCAAAGUCUGGUUCUAUUGAGAGUGAUACCCGCCUUCUACAAAGUGGUUUUUGAAAAGGUCUUUAAAUGACUCUUCGUCUCCAGUUCCAAAAGGUUUAAUGAAUGGCUUUUUUCUCUGCCCACCACCCAUGAAAAGACAGACUAUAUAGGGCCGCCCGCCCUAGUUCAAAUACCAUUUUAUCCUACCUCACUCACCGUCCCUCAGGCUUAAAAUCCUUUUCGUUGUCACCACUUACCUAGAUCGAUAUGGCUAGUUUUCUAGGAGAUUUCUAGCUUGAAUCAAGGCUUCAAAGACCCUCUCCUCUCUCUGUAACUAGAGAGGUAGGCAACCUGAGUUUAGAGCCACCUCGAUUCAGGAUGUCGGAACAUCAACCAGAUCGGAAACUGAAUCCUAAAGUGACUUCGGAACAAGUUUGAGAGCUUCGAUCGAAAACCUUUCCUAUCUAGUGUCAGCUGAUCCUUCAGCGUCUGCACCAACUAAAUCAGAAGCAACAUUCGAAAGACGAGAGUAGGCUCGAGGAGGAUCAAAAGACUGAUUCUCGGUCCCCUAAAGUUAGAAAGCUGGUUAGACUGCAAUCUAUGCCUAUGGAAAGAAAAGUCACAAAAAGCGAUCCAUAUGAUCAUAAAGAAAGGCUUGUCUAUACAUCUUUUUAGCGUACGCGCGGUUCCUUUCGAUUGUAGCCUGUCGCUACCUGGAUCAAUCAACCUAUUCUAGUUCGCCUUGUGUCAUCCGAUUUUAGGGAAUUCAUUGGAUCAUGAAGUUGCUUCACACCUGGCCAUAUCGAGGGAAUACAAAUGAACUUGCCCUUAAAAAAAGAGAAAAGAACUAGAAUGGGAGAGGAUGGUCAUUGAGAAAGAUUCCUCAACAGGUUGGUCAUUUGUCAGGACGAGAAUGUGAGUUCUUAUUAUUGGUGAGCCGCUGCCCCUCAUACUCUUCUUUCCAUUUUUGGGUCGCUCUUCUUAUCUGUCGUACCCCCAAUCCUCCUUCAUACGAAGGCAUCAUAACAUAUACAUCAAAUCAAGAUCAAAUAAAAGAUUCUCCAUCCUUUCUUUAUACUCGUCUAUCCCUCGAUCGACUAGAUGGGCCUAGGAUAAGGUAUUAAAAACCAGUCGAUAUGCGGGGUGAUCGAACCGACUCAUCUACAACUCAUCUUUGAAAACAAGAUGCGCUCCUACGUGAGGAGGGGGGAAAUGAAAGUAAGAACCAUGCACAUGGAUGAAAGAGCGUGCUUUGAGAGAAGAGGGGAAGAAAGACUAUAGAAAGGCUAAGUGAAGUACUUAUAAGGACUUCUUUAACAUUCUUAUUUCCUCCUCUUGCUUAUCACCUUCUUUCCCCUUCCUCGCAUCCUAAUAUAAUAAAGAUCAAGAUAAGUAGCUCCAGGUCCAGAUAUCUCCCUUCGAGAUCACCAGCAUCAGUCUAAGUAGCUUAAGUUUUUUGAGGAAAAAGGUAGAGAAGGAAGGGUGGUUGAAGCAGGACCAUAAGAAGUACCUUUAGCAUUUCAAGUACCUGGUUCAGAGCCAGGACAUCUUUGGCAUAUCCACCAACAGCGCCUUUGGCAUGAUAGGCAGGCAUCAUAUCUUGAUCCAUCGGUAGCAGAGCCACCGAGGGAAUCGAGUGAAUAACCUUAACGAUCAUUUUAGAAGUAGCACUUUACUAGCCUGACGACUCAAAGCAAGGUCGAAAUCCAUCCCUCUUUUUAAAACUAAUUAAUUAACAACCCACCAAGCAAGGGCACGUUGCGCGGUAGUAGCCAAUUCAAGGAAGUGAAACUAAGACAGGAAACUGCCCCUUUUUUUGACUUUGUUGUAAGUAAGACCCUGUCCUCUUCCCUUUCGACAUCAAGAUAAUUGACGAAGGUGGUGCUUUGAACAUUUUUGCUGAUGACGAAAAGAUAAACAUCUACCCGAUAUACCAGCAAUCCUUCUAUGCGGAUACCCCUUUUUUACUCUCAACCAUUGCCGAGAAGAGAAAAUGCUCAAGGUUCUAUAUAUUCUUUCUUUAUUCAAUUCAUUCCUAUCCUUUUAGUUUUCAGUCCCCGGUUUCCUCUCCAAGCCAAUCGAUCGCCUUCUUAGUUAACUGCGGAACCCGCCCUUUAGCCAUCUAUCUUUAGAUACGGAGGGCUUAUGAGUCACAGAAUUUGAAGCCAAAAAAACAAGGUAAGAAAGGUGGAGCGGCCUCACACAAAAAGAUUUGUCUAAGCAAUCUCAAAGAGAUUUUCAAUAAGUCAAUACCAAGAUUUGCUUUCUACGCCUACUGAUGUGAUGAUAAUUCAGAAGCUUUUUUGGAAAGAAGAAGGGCCCUGUUCCUAUGGGUUCACGUGCUAAGGCUCCACUAAAAAUGCUCUUUUUCAAAAGAGAGGUUUAAGGCGCAUUAAUCACGCCUUGAAGGAGGGAAGUAGUGGAGUAGGAGAGGUAAAUAUGGAUGGGAAUAGAUAAGUAAGAGAGAAGGUGACACCAGCUAGCAGAACAGAUGAAAUGAGCUGAAAUCCCCAGGAUGGAAAGAAGCUUGAAAGAGAGAACCAAGAAUGAAAUAGUGAGACCAAACGAGCAAAAAGCCAUGAAGGUUGACGAUAAGAGCGUAAGACUUUAUGCGAGAGGGUAGAGCCCUUGAUCCUUUCAAGAAUGUAAUUAUCCUGAAUAUUAUAAGGAGGCAAUUUAGAACCUUUUUUUAUGGCAUCAUCCGGGGUUAUCAGCCCCGAUUGGAAAGUUGGAAAACUUUCCAAUUAGGAUAUUCCGAGCACAUAGUCAUUUAAAACUACAUAGUUAUUCUAAUGGUACUGAAUGGAGCACCAACAAGGGUUGUAUCCGAUUCUAAGAACUUUAUUGUUCUCUGAUGAGGAUUAAUAUCUUGUUGUAAUCUCUAGUUCCUCCCAUACUUUACCUAUGCGAAGGCAGAAAUGGUAUAAGUGUUCAGGUGAACAAAGGUGAUCUAUGGUCUAAAGCAGUCUACUCGGGCUUGGUUUGAGAUAUGCAGUUUGGUUAUGACGAAGAUAGAGGGGUUUACAGAGAAGGAAUGCUGUGGGUUCAUAAAAAACAGAGGAAACUACCGUUAUCCUAGUGUACUCAGUUCUAUAAAUUAACAAGUCAAAUUCUGAGAUGAGUCAUAAAGGCAGCUAGUAAGCAAGUAGAGUCAUUUCUGAAGUCGAGCGAGCGCUUAGAGAUUUUCAAUCAAAGUCAGAAUUCGCAUAGAGAUGAGAGUCUCUAUCGUGGAGCUCGGUAAUUUUCCUUAAAAAGGCUACCGAUUCUUGAACAGAAAGAUGACCUAAGGCCAUAACUGACGUUCUCGUUAUUGGACACGUGAGAUAUCCCGGCUUUAGAGCAUUGAUUUCUCCUUUCGUUCUUCUUUGCGAAGGCGAAGCAAGAAUAAAAAAGACAUUUAUUUCAAAACUAUGAGGUGGGAAGAAAAGAGAAAAGAAAGGGUUUUGAAGAAAGCUACGGGAAAGUCAAAUCAUUUCUUUUUUAUCGAUGAGAUAUAUAUAUGCAAAAGGAAUAAUUCUAGCUAAAGAGAUAAGAUCCCUGUGCCUGACUAAUGGAAGCAAGGGACCAAGUUAUUCUCUAUAACCAUAAUAUAAAACAAGUAAACUUGGAAGCUUCGAAGCGGACUUUAAAGAAAUGUCAUAUAGGGAAAGUCCAGCUUCAAAUCCAACUUCUAACUCCCUCAUCUUAGAGUUCUCGUUAGAGCAGAAGUAAGGCACGAAACGAAGAGCUCAAAGUCAGGCAAGGCAGUCUAAGAGGCUAAGGAAGAGUUGGGGUAAUGUUGUCUGUGCCAAUUGAAGUCAUUCUAAAAGCUCCUUCGUUUGUGUCCCAGUUGCCGAUCAAGCUAAUAAAGACUAAAAAAGACCAAUCACUUGCUUAUUUGCCAGAUUGGGUUUUGGUUACAGAUGCGAUUGAUUAUGCCAUUCUUGCUUUCGGUGGAAGAGAAUGAUGAAGAUCUAGGCAUGCACAUUCAUGGAGAGGCCAAGUGAUGGGUUACGGUUCUGCGACAGGUGAAGUUUUGGUUGGAAAUGCCUUUUUGGGUGACUCUUUCCUUUGAUAACAUGCUUUAUCAGUGGAAGGUGUCGAAUGAUGGCCGACUUGUCUUUUCGAUUGAUUGGCUUACGGAUGGAAGGUUCGGACAAGAAUUCCUAGGCCGAGUAUUGGGCUUUCAGGAUCAAAAAAUCUUAAGAAUUUCCUCUCUUACUUUCAUCUUUGGUUGAUGAAUUCAGAAUGCCCCUCCAUUUGAAUGAAAGCCCUAGGGAAUAUGAAAGCUAUCCACCGGAUCUUGGAAACAAGGCACACAGGCCCCUGAGCUGAGCUCCUUUCGCUUCGACCCAUGAAUCUUUCUAUCUAUUAAUCUUUAUCUUAACCAAAAGGAAUUCUCUUUUUCUAGUCUUAUUUCUAACUAAUACAAGAAGAAUGCUGUAAGAGGUUACUAAUUAUGCUAUUCCUUCUGUCUUCCCUCACCUCCAUAUUCAACUAGAAAACGGUUUAAGGAGUGCCCUUCGCACCUUACUUUUUCUUUUAGCCUUUGUGCCCCAUUUAAAGAGGACAUAAGAUGACAUCUUAUUCUACGUCAUUUGCUUUCCUUAGGACUAGACUAAGCUAAACCAUGUCUUUUUUCAUUGGCAUUAACCUACUUACUUUGACAGUUGUGAUUCUACUUUCAUGUCUUGGAUUGAGCUUUCACCCCGGCACCUGCGCAUACGUGCUCCUUUACUGCCUACGCUCACAAAAGAUAAAGCCACUCACACGAAUCCAUGGACCUUACUUACUGAAGAAAGAUUUUUCUACCCUUUACUUCUCUAAUAGCCCCGUUGAAUAGACGGAUUCUUGACCUCGCCAAAGAGAUUCACUUAAGCUUCUAGCUGGCUUCCGUCACUUCCUUUCAGCUGCUCUCGCUUGAGAGGAAAAGGGUGUCUCUUCCCGUACUGUCUGAGUUCACAUUCCCUGAUCCUGCUGUUAUUGCUUGACUAGCUUGCUUCGAAAGCUGUCAUGUAAGAAACCAAAGAGGAUUUCUAACAAGGGGAAGAAAGAAAGCUCCUAGCGUUAGAGUGAUGCUCCUAGCAUAUGCCGGUAAGAAUUCAAUCUUUGGAAAAAUGAAAGUUGUUGCCAGAGGAAGCCUCUUAGUAGCUAAGGUGAAGCCUGAUUUCGUGUGGUUUACGACUUUCAAAGUGCUUUCUUUCUUUAUCUUCCCCAUCUAUUUACUUAGCUAACAAUCGUAUAGAGCGUGAUACCUGCCCUCUAAAAUGGGAUUUAGGAAGCAGACUCCUCACCCUAUAGUAAAAAAGCUCUAUGUAGCGCUUUAGCUUUUGCAUUUUACAAAAAGGAGCUAAGCAAGGGGAGAUCUUAUGCCCGGCUAAUUGAAUGGAGUUCCCGGCUUUAAAGAAUUAAGUUCAAGUACCGAGGAGAUUCACGACUCAGAAAAAGACUUGACCCUUCCCAAUCCCAAUGAGAGAGCAGUCUCUGGAAGCUGAAAUGCGACAUUUAAAACCCCUCAUGUUAACAGAACCACUGGAAGGGGAUAAAUGUGCCAUUAAAGGGCUUUUAGUGGCCUAUGAAAAGGAAUCUUUCUAUAAUUGCACUAGCGCACUAGACCGGUAACAGAACAUAAAAGAUUCUCUCUUGACUACGGCACCCGCGGUGAGCCUCUCGCCCGAAAGAAGGUUACCUUCACAAAGGCCCGUAAUCCAACUAAGCGAAAGAGGUCUAUCUCUUCCAACAUUUUCUUACUUCUAUCCCCUUGAAUAGCAAAGUUGCCCGAAUCUCGUAAGGCCAAGAGUUCUAUCAUUUCUCUCUGUCAACUCGAAGUCUAAGGCAAGGAACCUUCAAUUCCAUUUUCUUUUCUUUUCAUAGGCUCUUUUAUUGAGACCAAAUCCUUUCUUCUUUCAAAAGAGUUCCCCCCUCCCGCUAUUACUACUACAAAGAGACUAGCCGCGGUAAGAGAUUCAAUAGGACUGGAGUCGUUCAAAGCGAAAGAAGUUCUGAUCACAGCUUCUCAAACAAAACGAAUUAGGGGAAAAAGAGCAUUUAUUAUAGAGUAUAUAACUUUGAUCAUAGGGAUCAAUUUCUAGUCGCAUAGCUUCAAAAUAAUUCUUCAAAGCUUUCGCGUAAUUUUCUUCAAAUUAAGCCGACAUCCGUUACGGUUGUCAUUCAAUUGAAAGAAUCUCCAUUCCAAAACCGUACGUGAGAAUUUCACCUCAUACGGCUCCCCCCUUUAUGUGCAUAAUAAGAAUAAUUCAUAGAAUCAAAAAAAAAAAAUUUAGAGCCUGAGUCAAUCGAUAGUUGGGAGCAACUUGAAGGUGAAUUCCUUAACCGUUUUUAUAGAACUCGUCGUACAGUGAGUAUGAUAAAGUUGACGAACACCAAGCAAAGAAAAGAUGAACCAGUAGUGGACUUCAUCAAUCGGUGGCGAGCAUUAAGUUUAGAUUGCAAGGAUCGCCUCUCAGAAACUUCUGCCGUCGAAUGUACACCCAAGGAAUGCAUUGGGGUCUUGUGUAUAUCCUCCAAGGAAUCAAGCCACGUACUUUCGAAGAAUUGGCGACACGAGCUCAUGACAUGGAAUUGAGUAUUGAAAGCCACGGAAAGACUUCACCUGUUUUAGAUCCAAGGAAGGAAGCUAAAGAAUUCAAUCAACCGUCAAAAUACCAAACUAAAGAAUCCAUGGCGGUGGGAGCAACUUCUGUAAAGUCCCCCACUAAACAAAAGUUGAAAUAAAAAGCUCCAAGUCCGCGGCCGAGAGAAGAGAAAAGCCAGCCAACUUUGAAGGAGUUAGAAGCGAAGGCCUAUCCUUUCCCUGAUUCUGACGUCCUCGCGAUUCUCGAUGAGUUGUUGGCCAAGAAAGUCAUUGACCUUCCAGAGUCAAAGCGACCUGAUGAAGCCAACAAAGUCGAUAAUCCCAAGUAUUGCAAAUAUCACCGCAUCGUCAGUCACCCUACAGCAAGAUGCUUCGUCUUAAAGGAGAAGAUCAUAACGUUGGUGAGAGAAGGGCUAUUCCAUAUCAGCUGUUAUGCUAGGUCAAAAAGGACUGAAAGAACUUACAUUAGGUCGUGACUUGAGGGUCAGGGGAAGGAGCGGUAAACAAGUAAAGAGGUCGACUAGUUCGACGCUUGAUUGAACUCAGCAUAGUUAGAGAUUAGAGGAGAUAGCCUUUCUUUCUAUUGCUUGAGUGGAAUCAGUUGACAAAAAGCUCGAACGUAAUUGAAUUCUUUCUUAACAACAAUAAAGGAAGAGAUGAUUUGGAGAAGAAUUCAUUUCUCUCCGAGCAGUAAAGUUCCAUAUCCGUCAGAGAGGGAUUUACCGGUCAUUAAGAUAGAGUUGGUGUCGGUAGCUGUUCUUGCUUAGCAGGAUCAGGUCACCAAUCGGUGACAUAGUUUAGGAAUGAAUAUCCGUAACUCCCAUUCUAGUACUUAAACUGACAAAAUGGAAUAAACAAUCAAGACCUGGCUCAAGGCUAACCCCUCCACACUUAGGGUCAGAAACGGGAAAAGAAGAAUGAGUAGGACAGGCUCGAGGUCAAUUCUUUCUUUUAGGAGAGAUCCCACCCCUUUCUUUAGUGCUUGUUCGUUCUAUAAGACUUCCUUCUCAUUCUCGGUGAAGGAAUCGGAGAAGUUCCACACCUUAGUGGAUUGCUUGAGUGUAGCGUACUGAUUCUUAUCGAGUUCUUAGUUACUUCGACUGGAUGAGUAUAAUUCAUUUGUUGAUUGUAUCAUUAACCAUUUUUUUUUUGGUAUGAGGAACGUCAUCAUGAAUCCAUUGAUUUCUGUCGCUUCCCUUAUUGGAAAUAAAAAAUAUAGUAAUUCAAACUAUAAAACAUAAGAGUAAUUCUAGUGAAAGCUGCUACGCCCUUGCUUCGCUCUUUCUCGCCUAACUGAGAAAGUAAAUCCCUGCCUUCGCAUGCAAUAGUUUUCUUACUUUCUCUCGAUCGCUUCAAUGCCUAUAAUUUGAGAGAUAAGAGGAAAUCCCUCUCUUGAAUUCGAAGAUGUAACACAAAUAAUGACUCUCUUCGCCGGGAUGUCAGAAGGUUAGGCAGCUCUAAGGUUUUUGAUAUUCGGUGGAAGGCAGGCUGAAACUCUACCCCAACCAAGUGAAACAAAGGGUCUGAAAGAGUUCACGAUCUGAUCUAUGGGGCCUUGGAAGGAAGGGCUUCGCUUUUCGAUUGCUUUUUGAGGCCGGUUUGGAUGAGCGUGGGCAAGUUCGGGAUUCGUAACCGAAAAUGAAUCAGGAACAGACUUGUCCUUAGGUUGAGUUUGCUUCACUUCCUGAGCCCUCACCACUUCCUGCGACAGCUAACAAGGGGCAUUUAGGAUAAAUCGUUCAUUUAGCACAACUUCAUUCCGCUCGGGCCUCUCUUUGGAAAGUCCCUUCUUUCCAAUCUAUAAAUAUAGUAUGGGCCCCCAUCGUCUAGUAGUUUAGGACAUCUCUCUUUCAAGGAGGCAGCGGGGAUUCGAAUUCCCCUGGGGGUAGGGUACUACGAAAGGAAGUUGAUCUUGGAUUACCAAUAAGUCUAAAAUUGAUUCUUCCUGGGUCGAUGCCCGAGAGAUUAAUGGGGAUGGACUGUAAAUUCGUUGGCGGUCGGAUGUUUUCAUGAGCAGUAAGCAGCAGAUCUCCUUAUAUUUUGGGAAAGCUAGUGGCCGCGUGUGAAUUCUUUCAAGGCAAGCUUCGCUCUUUCCCGCCUAACUGAGAAAGUAACUCCCUGCCUUCGCUCUUGUACUCCAACUCAGUAGCUUAUUCCGGAUAAGCGAGUGAAUUUCAAGCUGGAAGGAAAAAAAGUGAAGUAAGCAUCCAACUCUGGUACUACCAAAUGUAUAAACAAAAAGAAAAAAGGAAAAUCUUUUUUUUUUCGAAAAUUCUUCAUUCCUGGAAAGAGGAAGAAGCAGAUAGGACAAAGGCCUUCUCUUUCCAUCAGCUCUUGCCGAAGUGAGCGAAUUACAUGUAUAGAUCCAUAUGGGCUUAUAGUUUAAUUGGUUGAAACGUACCGCUCAUAACGGUGAUAUUAUAGGUUCGAGCCCUACUAAGCCUACCACUCCCUUCUCUUCGGAAAGGAUGAUUCAUUCGGAUCGACAUGAGAGUCCAACUACAUUGCCGUUGACUCAUUUUCUUUUCUUUGCUGAUUCCUCUCAAUGAAAUUUUUGGCUAUCAAACACGGGGUCAGAAGUGAAUUACGAGUCGGACCAAUCUGCGAAUCGAGCGAGAUCCCCUUGCAUGCAAUGAUGUGGUGGUAAACCGGAGAUUCAAAUCCAAGAAUUGUUCAUGCAUUCUAAGUCAAUAGUUAAUGGUUCCUAUUUUCAUAAAGUUGAAUUUUUGAUUUUGCGACUGAAAAUCCACAUUUGAUUUUUCAAUAGAUUUCAAUGGAAAGGUAAGAGAAAGUUUUGAACAUUAUGAAUUUUAAGAUAGACUCAAUCAAAAUUGAAAGGAUGAAUCAAACCCAAUCAAAAGGGAAGAAGGAUUAGGAUUUCUUUGACUUUUAGGAAAAAUUAAGGAAACCAGAACUCAAGGUGCAAGUACGAUAAAAAAGUAGUUUAGUAAUCCAAGAAAGUUUUCAUCUAUUUUUUAUUUGUAUCAUUUUGGCGACGGAUCCAGAUCAAUAUGCCUCGGAAUGGGAAGGAAAUUACCCCGGCCAUCGAUCUAAUGCUUUUCCAUCUAUCUCCGAAACCAUCAAAAGUGGCAUAAGAACCACCUGGAUUCCAUUCUUUUGAUCUAUCUACUUCGUCCGAACCAAGUAGGUAGGCUCCAUCUUAUUCUAUUUUUCCACUGUCCAGGGUCGUAUCAAAAAGAAAGUAGCAAAAAGCAUAAGAGAAGAAAAAUUCACAGAAGGUUGGGAAAUAGUAUGCCCGGUUCACUAGGUUCUACCACUGCAGGGCCGGUCGACGCUCGCCUCUCCCCAAACUGUACUUGCAAGUUUCCCCGCAAAAAGCUCCAGGGGUCAGAUUACCCUCUAUAAAGUAAAC
rnacentral:lncRNA from 1 species